UAAUUUAGAGUUUAAUUAAUGCAAAAUUUAUUUCUCUUGCAACCCACCAAGCUGCUCACUAGUUAAUGUUGUUUGACUUGUACAUUUGAAUUUUUUAACACUUGCAUUUUAGACAACGAAUACACACUCUUUUUUUUUUUGUAUACAAGUUAUUGAUAUUCAUAGACUAAACUAGCAUUUAGUGAGAUUUAAACCUAAUCUAUGACUUUUGAAAUUCUAACUUUGAAUUAUUUUGUGACUAGACUAAGACAUCGUUGGCACAAUAUAAAAUUUCUUUGGGUUGCUAAAAGAUUUCUAUAGUUUUAGUAUAGUUUUUUUUUUCCUUCUUACUAGUGAUAUGACUAUUGCGCGUCAUUGUACAAUUUGUUUAAAUAUUUCACAUUUAUUGUUUUAUGACUUUUAUUAUCUGGUAAUUUAUUUGUAUAGAAAAUUUAUUUUUAAUUAUUUAUAUUUCAUGUAUAACAUAUCACAAAAUAUAUUACAUGAAUUAUAUAUUACGUGAAUUAUUCCAAAAAUAUUUUAAAAUAAUCUCCUAUCUAGACCCUUGCCUUGUGAUAAUACAUAUGAGUUUGCAAUUGGACGCAAAACGACGAAGUUUGCAUGCAAAGAAAGAAGUCGUACUUAGAAAAGCGGUGGUGUCUGUUAUUGUGCUUUGUUUGUUAGUACAGUGUCUGAAAACACGUGUUGGGCUUGAAUCUAUUGACUUCUUUGAAUCAGGCACGUCCCCUCGAUGUCCCCGAGAACACCAUCCAUUCAUGAGAUGGUAAAUAUGUUUGGAAUAAUUUUUUAAAAUAAUACUUAUUAUAAUACCUUUUUUAUGCGACAUACGAGAGAAAAAAAAUAAUUAAAAAAUAUAAUGCACCCAUUUCUACUCCUAAUUAUGCACUAAAUAUUUUAUGAAUUGUUUCACAUUUUUUUAUGUUUCAUAAUGAGAUGAGACUUGUGUGUUUUGGAUAAAAGAUUACGUAUAAAAAAUAUUUUUAUAAUACUUUUUUGUAAUAAAUGUAUACUUCCUUUGUCCCAUUUUAAUAUUCAUGAUUUUUUUCUUACAUAAUUUAAGAAAAAUUAGUUAAUUUUAUUGGAAGAUUAAAUUUAGCUUACUAUUUUUCUAAAAUACCCUUACAUUGGCAUUGGAGUAUAUCUUUACAUUAAUUAUAGCAACAAUGUUAUGAAAAGUUGCACCAUUCAAUGUAUGGAUUCGAGCAAUUAAUAAAUGAGGUAGUUUAUAUUUACUGAUAACAAAAUACAUUAAAUAAGAGUAUUUUACAAAAUUUACAAGUUAAUUAUAUUAGUUAAUUGAAAAGUGAACUAUAAUUUAGAACAUAUAAAAAAGAAAACAAAAUUAUCAAAAUGAAACGAAGGGAGUAUAAAACAUAACAAUGAUUAAAAAUAAAAAAAUAAUUUAAAGGAAUUCUUAAUGCAAAAUUAUUACUGUAGCAUGCGGGAUGAAAAAAUGAUCGAAAAUUAAAAAAAAAAUGAGUUUCAAAAUAUAUCCAUAGUACAAAUUAUUUGGCAAAAGCUAUAAAAAACUUAGCGAACCGCGUACCUUUGAACCGGUCUCACGAUGACGUGUGUCCCAAAGGUUGUCCUGCCCAAAGUUUUAUUCUUCGUGCAAGCAAUCAUACUCUUGGAUUUUAUACUUUUUUUUAGGCACAUUUUCUGAACUUAUUAGCACUUCCUUCAACAAAAAAAAAAAAAAAAAAAAAACUUAUUAGCACUUGAACAACUCUGGUAUUAUGACUUCUCAAAAUAAAAUAAUUUUCUUUUUUUGGAAAGAACAGCUUCCUAUUAUUUUUCCUUAUUCUGGUUUGACAAGAAACCAGCAAAUAAUAGACUUAUUAGGAGAAGUCACAUUUAGUAGGAAGUUGCCGUCUUCAAUUGUGUUUGGAUUGUAAAUUUUUGGAAUUUUUAUAGAACAUGUACUAAUUUGAUGUAUGUGAAGUAAAACAGCGAGUGAUUGAGAAGUGUGUUCAUGGAAAACAUAGAGAUUUUUUAAUAAAACAAGGCGCAACAGACAUUUUUUACGGUAAAGCACAACGGACAUUUUGCAAUUGAAAACUCUUUGUACAAUGUCAUUAAUUAUUGUUAUAUAAACGUACGGUUCACGUAUUAGUGAUAUUACAACGUACGAAGUCCACCUCUCUUGUAAAGAGAUUUCCACGUGUGUAUUAAAUCACAAUUCACUAGCAAAAAAAAAAGGUAAGAAAUACUUGGUGGACUAUAGCUCAAUAGUUAGCACUGUAGCUUGGUAGAUCAUCUGAAUCCCUUUUUUGGGCUUGAAUUUAGAAUAAUGUAUUUGGAUAAAAUAUUAUUUGAAACACACAAAGCUAGACAUGAUUUUGCUAAUUGCCAAAUUUCUAUAUCAUCAUUUCCCUUUUCACAUAACUAGUAAAAUUUUAGUUUAUUCCUCAAACUUCUUUCCAAUAAAUUAUUUCUGAAUAGCUUCUAGAAGUACGUACUUGGAUUGAGUCCACGUACAUAGAGUGACUGAAAAUCAUGACAUCGGAAGCAAUAAACACAAAUAAAAGAAUUUUCAAAUCAGGAAUGCGGACGACGCUGCCUGCGUUUGAUUUUUUGGCGAACCAUGCGACCCGGACCUGGACCAUCUUGGAACAACGAAUCCUUGGACAUUUGCUGGCCCAUGUAGAAAGCUUUAGCUUUGUCAAUCGGCUGUGUGAUAUUGCCUAGAAUUCCUUAGACUAGAGAGGCUGAAUCAGAACAUGACCCCAUUUGUUUCUUAGGCCCAUUAGUCCAAUUGGACCAGGCAGUCAAGGGAUUUCGAAUUUUGGGGGCAUGAUAGCAAUCCACUCAAAUCCCUUUUUGAAAAAUUUUUUUUUUUUUGGUUGUGACUUGUUAGAGCAAUAGGCAAUCCCUCUUUGGGACAUGUUUCCGCCUUUUUUGGAGGUUUUGUUAUGAUAAGCAAAUAAAUCAUGAACUAUGUACACAUAUUCUGCUUCUUCCUAAACUCACGGAACUGAUCACUUAAGGGCCACGUACACCAGGAAGGGUAUUUAAGGCAACAAAGGAAAGAUUGGAAAUUACAAAUCUUGUGAUGCCCACCAGCGUCACUUGUAACCAAACUGCGAAACAACAAACAUACAACAAAUUUUCACAUUUUGGAUUGCCUUUGAUAGUAGAAAUUUCAUGUUUUGAUAAGCUCCAAUUAACAGGUCCGUUUGGAUUUCUCAUUUUUUAGAAAAACAAGUUUUUUAUAUAUAAUAUUACAGUAAUAUACAAAUAAAAAUAACUCUAAAAACAUUACACCCAUAUAAUAUAUUAAAAACAACUACAAAUAUACAAAAAAAUAUAAAAAUAAAAUUUAUAUCAUUUUUUUUCUUGCAUCUAUCACUACUAUCCACCACCGCCACCCUUACAUCCACCGCUAUCAUUCCCUCAUUUCUCAUCUUUUCUCUAUCUCUCUCUUCCUCCUCCUCUUCCCUCUCCCUCCCGCAUUCUUCUUUCUCCUUCCCUUCCUCUUUCCCGCUGCACCCCACCCCUCCCCUUCCUCCCAAAUAUGGCAUCAACCAGAGGUUGUGAUCCAGUCGCAGCCGAAUCGAGACCAGAAGGACUGCAGUCUAGUCGUGAUCAAAGGGUUAGAUCGAGGAGAAAGAGGGAAAGAGGAGGGGUGAGGCAUGACAGGGAAAGGGAGGAGGAGGAGAAGAGAGGAGGGAAGGAAAAAAAGGGAGGAGGAGUAGGAUGGAGCGGAUGGUGGUGAAUUUUUAAAAAUAUGGUAAAAAUUUUUAAGAUUUAAAAAUGCUUCAAAAUAUAUGUCAAAAACAUCAUGAAAAAACAUUUACAGUAAAUUUAUAUAUAUAUUUUUAAUAAAAUAUUUCAAAAACAAAUCUAAAAUUAGUUAAUCCAAAUAUAGCCAACAUUUUCUAGCAUGCAGAGAUAUGAUGCAUGCUGCCCAAUGGAAAAAAAAAGAAGAAGAAGAAGAUAAACACCACUGAUAUAUGGUAGGUACUCUUUUUUUUACGGAAGCUAGAAUUAUAAAUCUAAUUCCAUAAGAAACCUCAAAAGCCGGCAACUCUUGAAGUCCUCCCAGGACUUAUAAAUCUAACUCCAAACCCCCCAAGAACCGAUGUGAGAUGUCAACCCCACAAGGGCUUAUAUGGUAGGUACUCCGCUAGGCAGGAUCCAUUACAGUUACUGUGGGAAAAGCGAACGGUGAUUGAUCCUGAUGUCAUCAUUGGGAAUUUUGUUCAUCAGAUGUUAGUUAUGUACUGCGCGGGUAAGUAGUUUCGAUUCGUGGAGCACUUGGUAGUGCUCAAGGAGGCGUGUAAAUUUUCUUUGAUAUUCUUGCAAAAUCCAUGAGACUCUAAAAUUACUCAACUAUUUAUCCAAAUUGUGAACCUGUGGCGUGCCCCGUUGAGCUCAAGUUUUAACAGUCGACAUCAAAAUUCUAUCCAAGAUUAAUUAUUGUCAUAACUCGGAAUCAACAAAUACAAUAAGGAUUAAUUUUUACGAUACUGUCAGUGUAUACACUGAUGAGAUUGGAUGAAUAUCAUAAUAUUUGAAAUUGUUUUAAAUAUCAAAUUCUGUACAUGUGAUAUGUAUUUAGAUUCGUUAGUGUAUAUAUUGUGAGUGUAUAAAAAGAUUUAUAUAUACAAUAAUGGUUAAACUGCUUCACAAAAUUCUGAUUGACUUCCAAGUAGCCGUCAUUUAAGUCCUAAAUCACCAGCCCAAGCGGCCAAGCCUUAAAUUUACUUCAAUUCUGCAAUGCACGGCCGGUCCAUCUAUAGAGCAUAGACCUUUUACCCGUUUCACGUAACAAAAAAUUUCGAUAAUAAUAAAGGUCAAAAUUUGGAUAGAUUCGAUUCUUGAAAAUACAAUAAUCAAGAUUAAAAAUAAUAAAUCUGUGUCACGACACUUAGUGAGAUAGUACGAGACAAUUUGGACUAUUAAAUUUUUAAAAUUCGAGUUUAUUAAAGUAUUAGCUGAUACUAAAUAUAAACAAAGCUUCAUCUCUAAUCUUCUAUCAAGAAACACUCUAAAGUGCAAAAAGUAACAUACUUACAACAAGAGUUACGGGCACCCCAUACUCAAAGCAAUCCUCCACCCAAUUUGCAGUAAUUGCAAAAAGUAAUUAUCGUUUGUACCUAAUUUCGGCUCUAAUGCACUAUCCAGAUCGGGAUUAAUUUGACAGAGACGUAUUCCAGAAACGAGGAAACAAAUUACCUCACAAGCGCAGCAAAUUUCUGCAUUACUCAUUGCAAUAAACAUUCCAAACUCCGUUAUUUAGUCAAAAAAAGACGCCAACCUUAAUUGUCUUCGUGGGGAAAAAAAAACAAAGAUAAAGACCAAAUUACGAGCUGUCGGCGCAAAUAGUUGGCGGACGGUAAAAUGAAUGGAACUGUCCUGUGGCAGCUGACAUCAUAGAGUCCAUCAUGAAUUAUGCGCGGUCCCACCUAAUUGAAUGUCGCCAACCACAUUUGGUCUCAUGUCCUCGGCAUCACAGCCCUACAUGUCACAACGUGGUGAACAUCAUUCGGGAUCGACGGCCAGUGAUUAUUUAAGUUUAUGGAGAUUUGCGCAAUGAUUGAUGAGCUUGUGAUGUUGCCACCUGAUACAAUCUCUCGGUCUGCGUACCCCCUCAAACAAAUACUCCCUCCCUUCUUUUACAACUGACGUUUAAGAAAUUUGCUUUUAAGUACUUUUAUCUGUCAUUUUAUUAUUCCUAUGCAGCAUUAAUUAUUUUUCACAAUUUUAUCAUUUUAUCUCUCUUUUCAUAAUUGGUGAGAGUUAAUUUGCAUUGCUUUUGACCUAAUAAAAUAUAUGUACCAUUUAAUAUUCUAGUGAGAGAAAACAUGGGUGAAUUGGAUAAUUAAUGAGGGUACAAAAGGAAAGUAGUGUAUAGAUUUAAACAAUGAAAAAUUUUUCUUAAUUGGUGUGCAAAAUCUUAAACGUCAGUUAUAAAAAAAGGGAGGGAGUAUUUGGGAUGGAUCGUGUGGUUCCAAAAACCAAAAAAAAAAAAAAAAGAAAACGAAAAGAAGUGUGAGUGAUAGGUUUUAGAUUCAAAAACUCCUUUCGAUUAUAUCAUUAUAAAAAAAAAAAGAAUGGAUUUGAGUACGAGUCAUUUGUCAACAAAUUAUUUGCUUAUAUCAUAAACGUAUUUAUCCUCCUACAAUUAGCCAUUUAUAAAAAAAAAUUUGCGACAAAUGUGUACAGCGUUACAUGAAAUAUAUAUUAUUGUGUGCUACUCAACCUUUUCAGAUAUUGCGGGUGGACUUCGUACGUUUCUAAUACGGAAAGGCGUGUUCCCAUUUGGGGUCAAAGUUCAAAGUCGUGGAGCUGUUAAAACAUGAAAUAUAUUAAUAUUAUCAUUAUUCCAGGACCUGGUCACCGCACGGAAUGACUUUGGUAGAUGGAAAAACCCGUCGUGUCAUAUUUCGGGAAGGAAAGUAGUUGGAAAUCUGAUUUAUUUAUGGUAAAGAAAUGAUUUUUUAGGAUAUCAUAAUUUCAAAUACAUCUCAAGUCAACACACUCGAAAAAGAACUCUUUGAACAUUGAAGAAAGAAAAAAAGGAUGAUACUCGGGAUAGAAAGUAUUACCAAAGGAUUUAUACAGGCAAGGAUAAGGAGAUGUGGAUGUUUUUCUGGAUAUGGAAAAGAAGAUGCAUUUGUUAGCUUUUCAUGUAAUAUAAAAAAAUGGUUUCACAUAUCAAAAUAGGAAUUAGGGGAGCUACACAGAGAUUCUUGAUUGAAUUCAAUCAAACAGCUUCAUAACUAUAGAAUGUUUUGUCAAAUUUAUAGAGGCAAGUUUUACCUCACACUCGAGGCUUAUAUCAUCUACAUGAAGCAUCUUCUGUUAGAACAUGCAUGUAAAAUUAAAAGCCAAAACUGGAAACAUCCUCUGUUUCCUCCUCUAUAUUCUGUACAAACCAAACCAAACAAUGGAAUGCGAUGCAUAAUAUACACCAAAUAAUUACUACUUCAUCAAGUACAUGCUAGUGUACAAGAUUACUUGGAAACAUAAAAAAAAAAAAAAACCCAAUACACCAAAAUUUACCACGGCAAGCAAAAGAAUGAAAACAAGAAAAAGAGAGGAAAUCGUGCAGGAGGGAGGCCACGAAUGCCAUGCUAAACAUGACAAAUAAGGAAACAGUUAAAGAAAGAUGGUGGUGGGCUCAGGCUAAAGCUAAGUUGCCAGCCGUCUCACAGUUUUGUGAAGCUAAUUAAAACCACUGCCAAGGAGAAAAUGGAGCAGUGAAAAAAUUGUUAUUGGCUAAUUGCAAGAGGGAUGGGGAAAUGGGACUAGGCUUGUAGGAGAGCAGUACUACUGUUCCCAUCUGAAUUCAGAAUCCGACCUUUCCCUCCGAUCAAUAAAUCUAUUUUGUCAAGAAUCCCGACUCCUCAAUUAGUACCAGCCGUACUAUUAGUAAUUAGACUUGUAGACUCAGUGGUCACUCCUCGCCACCUUCUUCCCCAUCUCUCGCUCCUCCUCCAACCAUAUUAUGCUCUUUUCCCCUUAAAUUCUGUAACAGAAUCUGAUUCCAAUCUCAACCCAAAAACCUUUUCCUCUUCCCACCUCCAGCCCUUGUCCAAAGAUUAAAUUUUGAUACCAAUUAUCCAAUUUCUGUCUGAGGUAUUAUAACUUUUACGGCUAUUAAACAUAAACAUUACCCCACAACCUUAUUAUUUCCUUACUCCUAGAAUCACAGACCAAAAUUUUGUCUUCUCCAGCUUUCUUUGAUCGGAGAGUCUGUGUCUUUAUGAAAAGAUUGUCUUUUUCUUAUCUCUGCCUGUAAUCCAUUCUACGUGCAAGGAAGACUGGAAAGGUACGACACGUUAAACAAUUGCCUAAAGAAAAAGGUUUUCUCUUUCCUUCUUGCCGUUCUCCCCCUUUCACACGCACAAACAGCACGAACGUGUGAACCUCGCAAGUGAACGUGACGGAUUCAUUCCUUUUAAUGCUGUUAUUUUUUCUGUUGUUGUCUGCUGUAAAUGGGUUUUAGUUUUUUUUGCUGGUUGGAAUGAUUUCUGAAGUUCUGAGGCCGAUUUCAUUAAGAUUUUUUUGCUGAGUCUCAGGAUCUUGUUUUGGAACUCUUAAUGUACUGAAUUUAAGAUUGGGUUUUUAUGAAGUGGGUUUUUCAGAACGUCUUUAUACAAUUAAACGGUUCAUGUAUUACAAUUUAGUGGUGCUGGCAAAUCAAAUUUCUUGUUGCUAAUAGUUUGUCCGGUUAUUGAGAUUUUAAUCCUAGUGAGGAACGAAUAUCAAUAGCAUUUUGUUUUGACUUUGGGAAAAUUCUUCUUCUUUUUUUUCCUCCUCUCUGUGAUUUAUUUAGCAUUUCUUUCUUUUACUUUCUUAAAUGAAAAUUGAUGAAAGAAACUACAUGUUUAUCAGCUCCUGCAUGAUACGUUUGUGGCCUUAUUGCUGACUCUGUUGUUUGGUAUGCUAACCAUUUUCGAUUUUCCUGACGUAAUAUGGCCGUCUUUUUCUGUCUAUUUAAUUACUUAACGGUGAAUACUCCAACUAAAUCAUCUCUCUGUUUAGUUGUUUACGGAGUGCUCGAGUUUUUUUUAAUCAUGCUGAUUAUUUAAAUAGGCAUAGACUAAGCUUUUGUUUUAUUUUGAACCAUGAUUGAUCAGCUAUUGUUGAAAGCUACAAAUUACCGUACCCACUCCGAAGCGGCAUUGAUCCUUCUUUGGCCAUUUGGUUCAGAAAGUAGAGUCCAAUAAAAAUCCAUUAAGGACCAGUGACAGUAAAUUACAUUUCGUUGCUGAAUUGAUGAGAAAGUGAGGCAAACUGAACUCAUGAUAGACUUCAGCCAUGGGGUCCUUGAACAUGGAGAAGAGAUGGGUUUUUCCUCUUGCAAUCAGUUCACUGGUAUGCCUUUUCCUUAUUGCAACCUCGUUCAAUAUGGGGAUGGUUUCAUCAUUGCAAAGCAUCAACUCAAUCUUCUCAAUGUUCCCCUCUCGUGCAACUGCUAAUCAAACGAGCCAAUUAUUUGUUGAAGCAAAGGUUAACCAAUCUCCACCACCUCCAGCUGCUCCACCAGUUCCGCGUUUUGCAUAUCUGGUAUCAGGAUCAAGAGGUGAUCUAGAAAAGCUUUGGAGAACUCUCCAUGCAUUGUAUCAUCCACGGAAUUAUUAUGUUGUACAUUUGGACCUGGAAUCCCCUGCAGAGGAGAGGCUGGAGCUUGCUUCUCGGCUUGAGAAAAAUCCCAUAUUUUCUAAGGUUGGGAACGUAUUCAUGAUUAAAAAGGCUAACAUGGUUACUUAUAGAGGUCCCACCAUGGUCUCUAAUACGCUUCACGCUUGUGCCAUUCUUCUCAAGAGACACAAGGAUUGGGAUUGGUUUAUUAACCUAAGUGCUUCAGACUACCCAUUGGUGACUCAAGAUGGUUAGUUUUAUUGGAAAUUCACCAAUUGGUAUUGAAGUGUUUGUGCUGGAGAUUGCUCUUAUUGUUCUUCAUUUCAUUCAAGUCCUUGAUUUCUCAAUUUUGCCCUUGCAGAUCUUCUGCAUACCUUUACUGGUUUAAGGCGGGAUUUGAAUUUCAUCGAGCACACUAGCCGAUUGGGCUGGAAAGAGUAAGCUCUCUUGGUGCGUUUUUUGUUUGGCUCAUGCAUCUAUCAAGAAAUGAAUAUCAGCACCUAAUACCAUUACAUUGGGUUGUGUUUCAGGAAUCACAGGGCAAUGCCGUUGGUCGUGGAUCCCGGGCUCUACCAGGACACAAAGUCUGAUAUAUUCUGGGUCCAACCUAAGAGAACUUUGCCCACUGCAUUUAAGCUCUUUACUGGUUAGUUUUUUUCAAUAUGGCAAAUUUUAUGUGCCGAUGUACCAUGUCAAGAUAAGUGCCCCUCUGCCAAAGAAGUGGUCCUGAAAGCCAAACCUGGCCUCUUACCAUGGCCAAAUUGUAUUUUCCUAUUGACCGUCCAAUUCAAUCAUUGCUUUUCCUCCGCUUGGAUAAUUGUCUUUCUCCAUAUUCUGAUAUCUUCUUUCCUCUGCAUAGUUCCUUUCUCAGCCAUGCAGCGUAUUGAGUUAUAGCUUGUAUCCCUGAUGGGUAGUUCAGUUGCUGAUUGCAUAUGUCUUUCUCUUACUGGGAAAUUAGGCUGAUAUCUUUUCCAACUGUUCUGCAGACCACCCUGCUUUUCUUGUUUCCUAUCAAUGUUAUCUCUCCCUUUACAACCUUCUUUCAAUUUUAUCCUUGCAGUAUCUGUCUACAGUGUUUUGUGUAUUGAAAUUGCUGAUUGCAGUAACUCGUAACAGAGUUCUGAAGGACAUGUAGGCAAAUACACAAAACAAAACUUAUUGCAAAUUGUGCUCUGUCGGAACUUUUGUUGUAAUGGUCUUUUUUUCUGAAACAUGGAACGGAAACUGUUGGUGAGGUUGAGGUUUUAGGAUUGAAACGUUUCUCUCUAGAGAUUUUACCUAUUUUAUCAUUUUCUAAGAGCUGUGGCCUAGCUUUACACGAAUUCCCUCUUUUACAGGUUCUGCAUGGAUGAUCCUGUCGCGUGCUUUUGUGGAGUACUGCGUCUGGGGUUGGGAUAACCUUCCUAGAACUCUACUAAUGUACUAUACAAAUUUUGUAUCCUCUCCUGAGGGGUAUUUUCAGACAGUUGUUUGCAAUGCCCCAGAAUUUGUACCCACUAUUGUCAACCAUGACAUGCACUACAUAGCUUGGGAUAAUCCCCCAAAACAGCAUCCGAAAACCCUCCACCUGAAUGACACAGCUCCAAUGAUUGCAAGCGGUGCUCCAUUUGCUCGUAAGUUCAGGGCAAAUGAUCCUGUAUUAGAUAAACUUGAUAACGAGUUCCUCGGUCGCAAAAAUGGUAGCUUCACACCCGGUGGUUGGUGCCGCGGUAAACCUCGUUGCUCGAAGGUUGGAAAUCCUGCGAAGCUGAAACCAGGCCCUGAUGCUGAACGCCUGCGCGGUCUAGUAGAUAAUAUAGUUUUGUCCCCAAGAUUUAGUGAGAAUCAGUGUAAGUAGAUUAUAGUGUAUCAUUCUUACUUGCAGAUUAAAAAGGGCAAGCUAAAUUUACUUCCAUAAGCCCCAACGAUUCUUUGUUGGAAGCUGGAGUAUUAUAACAAUGACACUGCACAGUUAACAUCAUUUUUCUUUGAUCGUAAAAACGCAGCUUUCUCGACUGCAAUGGUAAUAAUACCUGCUUCUGGCAUCACCGUACAUGUUCCUAGUCCGUUUAUCCGAGGAUCGGAACAUGUUUUUCUUUUCUUUCUUUUGAUGUGGAUUUGGAUCUGUGUUCGUGAUCACUUGUUGAAAACAAUUACAUCCGCGUCAUUUUUUGACGAUUUCUUGCUGGCAAACAGUUACAGAUCAGCCGACGCAAAACUUUAUCAACGACAAAAGUCGCUCGGCAGCUCAGCCGACGCAAUCUUUAUAUGGUAUUGAUGACCAGGGUUCUCAAUGAAUCUAGUCCAAUUUUGGCAUAAUUAAGUAGUACUCAUAUUAAUUUAUUAAUUAAUUUUAUCAAGUUUAAACUCGAGAGAUUCUUAAUGUAAAACUCAAAUUCAAAUUCGAGUCCAGUGUAGUCGGUUCUUAAGAAGGAACCGAAUUUCACACUAGUUGCGCUGUUUGUUACCAUCAAAGACUAAAAUCUUAAUGGCUUGGGAGAUCAAAUGUUCAAAAUUUAUUUUCUAUCGCUUGUCAUUGUACGUGACUUCUCUAAAUCUAUACGAGUGUAUAGUGCAUCCGUUUUGAUUCGACGGUAAUUCAAUUUUCGUCGAGUCUCUAACGGGCUCGAGCGUAGAAGCAGAAUAGAUAAUGCUGAAUGGUAAAAAAAAAAAAAAAAUGCACUUUUUAACUCAUUUUCUAAUACUAACUUUUUAUAUUUUCCAGUUGUCGGUGGGGAUAAUUGGAUGGACAUAAUAAGCGGACACGGUACUCGCAUCUGCAUACUGGUGGCCUCUUUUCCUUUACAAUCACCUGAAAAGAAGUCACCCACCAGAAAGAAUGUCACGUUUCUGGAAGUUCGAGUCAAUUAUAUAACCCAACAUAUCAUUCUCACGGAAAGAUGCUUUUCGCACAUGUGAUAUACCAGUAACAAGGCAAAUUCUACGGUAGGGUAUAUGGCACUGUGAUAAACCACAGCUUAAAAACAAAAAGCUUAUCACAUGAUAGUAAUAGAUGAGACCGAUCAAACAUUUAAUUUGUCCUGGUUUACCCGGAUGCCACAUUUUUUCUGUCCCACCAGAAAAUUUUCUAACUAGUGUGAGUACCCACCACCCCCCCCCCCCCCCAAAAAAAAAAAAAAACCCCUCGCACGCUUCUCUCUCAAGAGUCGCCAUGACUAUCGCGAAUCAAUUAUUCAAUUCAAUUCAUCGUGGGCUAAUUCAAAUUUUUAUUUUCCUCUCUCUUUCCGUGGCUGUCCUUCUUCAAGUUCUGGUGCAUUCGAUACCAUUUAGAUUUCAUGUGUCAAAGCACUGGCUUCACUAACUGUAAUAACCAACAUCUUCUGGGUCGCUAAUGCCACGCAACUGUGGCAGGUCAGAUUUGACCAAUCAAAAGUUAGUUUGUCUUUGGCUAUGGCCGAAAAGCUGCUAAAAGAGGUUCGGAAUUAUAAACCCAUUUCCAUCUUUAGGAACCCGCCUUUACCACUUCCCCUCUGCAUUUGACCCAGAAAACGGCGUACAUCAAGCCACCAAUCCUCCCAUUCCAAACAUACAAUCCACUUCUGAAUGAUCGAGACAAAGGAAGUUCAGAAUUUAAUCACCAUCCAAUGCAUCAAAUUGUUCCUCUUGGUAUAGCAAUUAUAAGAUCAGAACAAAUUUCACAUCUUGGAGGAGGAGGCUGGGAGAGAAAUGGGGAGACUCUUACUCCAGAUUGGAAGGGAGAUGGGAGCGGGGAGAGGGCUGGAGCACCAAAGCCAUGGCGGUAAAUAAUAGUAGGUCAUUGGCUGUGUAAAGGUAUUUUAGGUUUAUAGAGUGAAAUUGUUGCUCUGAGUCGCUAUUGCCAUCCAUUGAGUCAAUAUCAUAAUACAUAUAUAGUAGUAUAUUCUAUAUCAAUGAUUGCAAUUCUAAAAAUUACAAGAAUAUACAUAGAAAAAUCAGCGUUUUAUCUUUCCUUUCGGGCUCCUCUUUCUAUUUCUUAUCUACAGUACACUUGAACAAUGACGAAUCUCAGUGCUCCAGUUAACCAUCCGCUAUUCUACUAAAAGGCAAAAAUUUGUUUUGCAGGCUGCUGUUGAUGUUCCUAGUGACUUCAACCUUCAGUGGAGCAGGCCUCGAUAAAAUGCUCCUUGGGUAUAAGCCACUCUUUUAAUCUGUGUUUCCGCUGAUGCUGUAUUCCAUUUUCUCUCUCUUUUUUUUUUUUUGGAAUUCAUUCUUUAAGACUUAGCUCAAACCAUCUCCAACAACUUGAUAUUUCCCGUGGAGUUAGCAGCAACUAAGGUGGAGGAUGACUGACCACGCCAACACACAGAGGAGAUAAACUGUGCACUGUCGUCCACUUCAUCACCCGAAAGCGGAUCUGUGAUGUUAAAUUUAUAUGACAACGCAGGCAUGGGAAGAGCUUUGUGGUAUACAAAAACCUGUAACCAGAAAACCAAAGACAAAACUACAUUUACCAAUCACUGAACAGGUGAUCAUUCACUGCUGUACCAUAUAACAUACCAGUAAAUUGGCUUAAAAGAUUUUGUGAGGGACUGGAGGAAUAUGACAGAACAAACAUGGGAUGUAACAAACGAGGGUGACUCCACCGCAGUAAUUCGACCUUUCGUAAUCAUCACAUAGAGCUGUGAAGGGGGAAGUGCUGGCAACAGAUGUGAACUCAAACUGACUUUUCAGGAACAAAGUAAAUGUGAACCCACCCUUCCAAGACCAGAAAAAGGUAAUUAUGACUAGACAUUCUUGAGGCAUUUAGUAGCAUACAAAGCAGAGAAACUUUCAGUGCAAUGCAGAGUUUAAGGAAGAAAAACCAAGGACAAUCAUACAUAACUACAGCAGAAAUCAAAAUUAGAUCGUGUAAACUGCUGUGCAAAGCAUGGGAUACCUCAUUUGUCUCUGAUCCCGUUGCAAUGUAACCAUCAGAUACAGAUAGGCCAACAAAGUUCUGCAACAAAGAUGUAUCCACAUUAAGGAUGAAAACCAUAGAUGUUUCUAUAAGCAGAAUUUGGGUUUUACCUCAACUUAAUGAUCAAGAUGCAUAUGCAACAAAAUGAAUCAAUGAAUAUUAAAACUAGAGGGAGAACAGAAGGAGGGGGGGGGUGUGUGUGUUAGGAGGCUAGGAGCAAUGCAUAUGCACAUUCUUCCUCUCUUUUCUAACAACCUUAUUUUCUUUGCUUAUUUUUAAUAAUUUCAUUCCAAAUAACAUCAAUUGCUGAUAAAGACCACUCCCAAAACCUCAUCCAGACUUUAUUUUCUCAAUAUAGUUGGAAAAAAAGAUACUGAAUACAAAAGCUAUAUGUAUUUUGCCUCUCACAAUGAACUAAUCAUCUCAACGGGCCUUGGAAAGUAUAAUGAAAAAGAACUUGUAUGCAUUAUAGUAAUUCCACUGCUUAGAUGAGCUGAAAAUUGAAAGAACUGAAAAGAAUGUCCCGUUUGUAACCCUACUGCCUAGUUUGGGAGAUGAGAUCUGAGCGGAAAAGAAACGAAGGGAAGAAAAAAGUAGGUAUUUCCCACGUUUGAGAGUUUUAGUGGAACAGAAAGGAAAAGAAUCCAGCUGAUUUGGAAGGAAGAAGAUCUGCUACAGUUAAAAAAAAUUUUCCAUCCCAAAUCGGCCAGAAAGCGAAGGAAAGCUACGGAAAGGCUACAAAAAAAUUUUUAAAUUGCCCAUUCUAUCCUUGAGAAGCUAUUGAAUGGAAUAUUUAUUGACCAAUGCGUCCAAAAUCAUCUCCUUUCUUUACACAAACUCCCAAACAACAUUAAAAUCUCCUCUCUUCUUUUCUUAUCAUUUCUUUUCUCUCAUAACUUAACCUUUCUCUUCUUUUCUUUUCUAUCCUGAACUCCCAAACUAGCUUUAAAUAAAGAUCAAUUAUCAAUGAUAGCAAAACUAAAUUUGUUAACACAUUUGCCUGACCUUAUCAUACUUGAUACCAUACAAUUUUAGUUAUAUAUCAAUUUCAAUGAGAAUACCAAAUGAAUUGAAAUGAUAUAGCAGACACUAAGUCAUGAUAUUUCUGUAGGGCCACUUUACUAAACAAAAUGGAAAAACUCAAUACAAAGACAGCAUAGUGGUAUUCAAUCGUCAGAAUUAACCUUUAACUGUCCCCAACUUACUCAACAUCCUGACUAAAAGACCAAGCUACAAUUUCUAAAAUGAUACACAAUAUCAAGCAAUAAAACAAAAAGCUCUACCUUCACAUUCAAGUGCCCGGUGAAUGACUGAAGGGGACAAUCAAGAACCCGAGCUGUGCACAUUGACAAGUCCCAGAGCUUCAAUGUGUUAUCUGUAGAUGCAGACACAAGUGUUGUCGAAUCUACGAACUUAACAUAGCUCACAGUCUUGUUGUGUCCAAUCAACGUGCAGAGAGGCAUCUUAGAAUUGCGUAGAUCAUAAUAGUAUAUCUUAUGGUCUGCUGAUCCAAAUGCAAGGCGACGACUGGAUUCAAAUGGAAACUGAACACAACAGACAUUUGCCUUUGUCUUAAUGGUACCGAUGCUUACUCCCUGCAGUAGCAACCCAUGUAAGAAAAACAACUUAUUACACAUCAAGAACCCAGCCUAUACAGCAAUAACAAUUAGAUGACUGUAGUACGUUUAGUUUCAAAGCUGACAUCCACCAAGUGCAAAAAUAGAAUUGCCUGAUUGAUAUUCCAGAGCUUAACAGAACCAUCAUCACUCCCGCUAGCCAGCAAUGUUGGAUCAGCUACUGAGUAGUCAACGGACCAGACACGGCUCUCAUGCUCGCUCAUUUCCAUAAAGAUUUGACUUCUUGUAACGUCCCAUACCUGAAAAUAUCUCAAGGAGACGAGCCAAUUUUUAAUUUUUUCUUAUUCUUAAAAAAAAAAAAAAAGUGGACAAGAGUUCAAGUCUAUUGAUUUACCUGAACCACACCUUCAAAGUUACUGGAAGCAAUCUGGCUCUUAAUAUAUCCAUUCCAACAUAUACUGCUUAGCUUUGAUCUGCUAGCCAUUUCAACAACAGGAUAAUGGAUAUCACGGUCUUUGUUUAGAAUCGAAUUAUAUUCAAAGACUUUGAUCUUCUUAUUCACACCAGCAGUUGCAAAAAACUCUCCAUCACGAUCAAAACUCAGGGAGCAUACAAGGUUGGAAGAAUUUAAAAGAUCUCCCUGCUUCAAGUCUGCCUUCACCUUUAACUUGCUAAAUGACAAAUACUUGCACAGACCCUCAAGAAAUGAAUUUAUCCAUCCACUUUGUCUAUCCUCAUUAUAUUGUUCUUUUGAUGACAACUUACUGAGAGAACUUCUUUCUGUCGCUACAACUGAUCCUCUUGCAUCACUACUAAUUGGAGAACUUCUGGCAUAUACUUUUCCAGAUGGUUUGAGAGCCCGCCGCCUAGUUAAAAAGUAAGCUGACUCCAAUUUUCUAAAGUUUUUCAUGAGUCGGGAACUCUUAGAAAGAAUAGUUGCUUGGUUUUCUGGAACAGGAUCAUCAAGUUCCUCCGCAUUAUGGGUAUAAAGCCCAGGCCUGCAUCGUUUUCUCGACCCUGAGCUACCAGAAUCACCCUCAUCUACUGUAUUGGAUGAAGGGGGCCCUGAAGCUGAAUCCUUCACCAGGUCUAUGCUUGUGCCUCCUUUUAUCCUAAGGGCAGUUUGCAAUUUUGUGACUUCUUCGAUAUCAGAAGUCAAAAAGGACACCAUUUCAUGCAAGUGAUCUGCUGCAUCCUGUUUCCUUUGCUUUAAUAGUAACAAAAAUUCCAGCAACAGCUCUUGUUCAUCUAUUUUUUCUCGAAGUUCUAUUGCUGCCUCACGUUCCUCAAUGUUGUCUCUUGGUUCAUUUAGAAAUUCGCUUUGCAACAACUCCCUGCAUCAUGUGAUUGAGUAUGGAAACGAGACCAAUAACCAAUUAUUGAAAGCAUAAAAUGUUGGGGAGAACCCAUACAAAGGCACAAAGACAACCAAGGGAUGUACUUUGCAAUAAAAGCCAGGAGAGGUAGCAUCUCAAGUCUUGAUGGUAGCCUUAAAAUCUUAGUUACUAGUGUAGAAAUAGCCUGAGACUAAGUGGUAACAGUAGUGCUCAUGCACUUCUGAAUUACAAGCUUAAGCAUCAGUCAGACCAUAAAUUUAUGCUAGUGGCCUGUCCCUCUCCUUUCUCUAAAUCUUUUGGCAAUGUCUGAGGACUAAUACACAUCCAAAGCAGCAAAAUGCAACAGAAGGAAAAAACAAACUACUGCAAGACAUCACAAAAAUUUUAGUGAGAGAUUAAAGGUACGUUUCAAGUCCAGAAGCCAUAAUUGGCUUCACACUCUUCCAGGAAACCCAAUAUGACAUGUGCUAGGGUUUCUGAAAAAGCAGAUUUUUGUAUGACGAGUCCAUUAGCACUAUAGAACACAACAUACUAAGAGUAUCCAUAUAUAUCCUUUUUAGAAGUUGGCUAUUAUGGCGGAUAACUUCAACCAGCAGAGAACAAAAACAUCUUUGGAACAGGUGAAGUUGAAAUGGUAAAAGUGCAGUAAAUCCCACCCCAUUUUUGGCCGACUACUUGGCUCAGGAUGCAACAACCAUAGGCAAAAUGAUGCUUCUUUAGGCCACUUCAAAAGCAACUGAGGAGGGAGAACACGAUGUCUCAGACUAGACAUAGUUGCACUUUUCUCUUCCACCGAGCUAAAUGUGCAGAACAACUGUUCAUCAGCAAAAUAUUUAUCAGAGAGGAAAGAGGUAAAACACAAGCUUAUUUAUUAUUCGAUACAACACUGAACUGAGGAGACCAUGAUUUACAGUAAGUCGUCAUUUCAGGAUCUCGGUAACUGAUACUAACCUCAAAGAGAAGAACCCCCAGUCGAUAAAUGUCUGAAGCACUGGAACUGGGGCCACCAGAAACUUCUUCUGGACAAUUGUACCAAUUGGUUUCCAUCAACAAUAUAUGUUUCAUUGGGAAGGAAUGCUUCCUUUCUUCCGUCUGGUCAUCAUUUGGUGCAACCUCAGCCUGUCUGGCGCUUGACCUAAUGCAACUUGUUUCAGAUACUAUUCGAGAUGCAUUUAGGGGAUUCAUCUCAAGUUGCAAGGUUUCAGUAGCUAGCUGACUUCCUCGUUGGGGCAAGUCUGAAGGCAAAGGCGAAGACGCACCUUUAAACUCAGCCGUCUGGCUGUUUGUUCCUUCCUCAAACGAAUCUGAACCCGAAUCCGAGCAAGAAGCAGAUUCAAUGAAAGACACACGGUUAAGUGAGGACAUGACAAAGCAUGAGGGCCGCACAUUAUGGAGGAUUAUUCCCUGAGAAUGAGCCAGGUUAACUAUAUCUACAAUUUGAGUAAAUAUGUGUAAGCAUUCAAGAGCAUCAACAGUUCUUUCUGGGUUGUCCAACCACUGUCUCAGACUGAUAUCAUUACAUUCUAUGGCACGAACAACUGGGUCCAGAGCUACUCCCUCCUCGAAGCCCCCAGUAUAGGUUUUAAACUGGUUAGUUAUAUGAGGUAGCACAAUUCUCUCCCUCACUUUUCUUCCUGGUCUAAACCCAAACUCAGACGACGUAUCUCCUGAGGACCUGAUAGUGUUGGCACGAACAAGUCGAAGAUUCCCCUCCAAAACCGAAGAAGAAUUUAAACCCCUAGAGCUAUCUGACCUCUGCCAGCCAGAUUCAGAUGAACCUUCCAUUAGUCUCCACCUCUACUAGGGUGAAGCCCAAGAAACACAAACCCAAGCCAAAGAAAAGGAAGAAAUCUUAGACCUUCAACACAUUCUUUGACUUCCACCACAGCCAUUUUCGAAUCAAAAACACAUCUUAACCACAGAAACCACCAAAACCUUUUAUUUGCCCUAAACCUCAGUGAUCACUUUACCACACCAAAACCUUCCUGCGAACGUUAAGAGAUGUAGAAAUGAGCAUAAAGCACCAAACUUUGAACUUUCCACAUUAAAGAAAGUGAAACUCCAUCAACAAACAAAACCCGUAGAAGAAAAUCCCAUAAACGCUAUUCAGAAGAAAAAAAGGCUAGAAAGAAAAUUUCAUACGGCCCAGAAGUAGUGACCAUGCAGUAUGAUUAUGCAUUCAAAAUCUUGUUUAUCAACACAACAACUUAAGUACAUACAUACACAGACGUAUACAUAGAGAGAGAGAGAGAGAGAGAGAGAGAUGGAGAUAAAGCAAGCUACCAGUUUAUCACCAAAAGGAAAGUCUGAAAGGUAGAAGCUGCGCGGAGCUUGUUGAGUUUGAGAUGAAGCAAUAGCAAACGAAAGAACUCGAACCACACACUAGAAACUUUUAACAAAAACAAAACAGGUGUGCUUUUUCCAAAGGAAGCACCACAGCCUCACAAAAUACAGAGGUAUUUUCCUCUCCAACACUACUGCAAGAGCAAACAAACAAAAACAAAAAGGAAAGAAUAAAGAAAAAAGAAGGUGGGAAAAAAAAGGAAACCCACAUAUGAAAUAUUUAACACCACCCUCCCGGCAAAAAAAGAGAGAGAGAGAGAGAGAGAGAGAAAAUCCUUCCUCACACAAAAUUCAGGCCCUGCGGGUUGAGGAUGUACUUGACCUAUUGCAUUGCCAUGAAAUGUCCGUAUUUUCAUUAAAAUUGUACAGUACUCCCAAUAUAUAUAUAUAUAUAUAUAUAUUGAAUACUAAUAAGUAGUAAUAAGCAAGCAUAACUAGAUUUGGUUGUCCGUUGGUUUAUUCUUUGUUUUGGAAAUCCUAGGGACCACUUGUUAUCUGCAAUGCCACUGACUCCUGAUUCAGUUUCAUCACGUAUACGUGGCUGAUUCGCAUCCUCAAACUCCCUGAAAUGGGAAAGGGGGGUAAUAGUGUAAAUUCACUGAACACUCUUGUGGAAUGUGGACCUAGCGUCGUCUGAAAUGGAUUCUUAUUAAAGUAGGAGUAAAAGAGAAUUACUCCUACUCAAGAUGUGAGCAGAGAACAGUCCCAGAUGUAUCUCCAAUUUCCAAUGACCGAUUCUCACUAAGUCCUCCUGUACUAAUAAGUUAAACCAUUUGACUGAUGAACCCAUUUUUUUAUUAUAAACUAAUAGCAGGAGUAUACCAUAAUCAUAUCUUUUCUCAAACUGAAUUAAGUAAUUUAACAAUCCCAUUAAAGCUAAUCCCCUCCUGUUCAUCACCAUUAAAGUUCAAACUGAGAACGAAAUUAAGCGGAAACGUCACAUCUAUUCUAACAAUAUGUUAUUAUGCAAACACAGGUAUAAUCUACUAGUAAUUAGAGAGCAAAUGAUUACAUUGAAUUGGAAAACGUACUAUUAAAAGAAAAAGGAGCAGUGCAACAAACCUUUACACCUGUAAGCCCGUCGUCACGAAGGUUCCUUUUUUGCUUCUUUUGCCUUUGUGAAAUCUUAAAAAACUUCCAAACCUAAACAACCGAGUUAAUUCUCGGUAACUCAAAAAAAGCGCACAAUCGCCUUUUCGUAACUGUUCAUAGAAAUCGAAACUUUAAGUUUUUUUUUUUCAAAAAAAAAGGAAAAAAAAUCUAGGUUUUAGGUUGAAGAAAACUAACCGCAGGUGAAAUUAUGAGCUCAAAGCACGAACGCUACAGCAUUGGAGCUCGUAACCGAGGUUGGAAGUUCAGAGUUCAGACCGUGUAAUGCUUCGAUUUUUUGUCGUUCAAUAUUGUAUUUACUCUAAUAUCGUGGAGCUUGUGAAGUUUCUCCUUUGUUUGUUUGUAGCGUGGGAUUGUGGUUCGGCGGCCGAGAGAGGCGGAGUGAAGGGCGGCGGAAAUGAGCAGCUUUUUUAAUAUGAUUAAUAUUUGAAUGGGGAUUGAUUAUUAUUUAUUGUUGGUAGAUGAGAAAUGUGAUUACAUGGAGAUUAAUACUACUAAGUAAGACGUGGUCGCAGGAACUGCACGUAGUCUUCUGAGUAAUUAAUUAGUUUUUUUUUUGGUUGGGGUUUUCAAAAUGCUGCUUUCGAAGUUUACCAGAUAAGGAAAAGCAAGGAAAAAAACACGAAGCUCUUCUUGGACCUUUCCUUGCUGGUGAAACGCCCGGGGCUAAGAAAAUGGUACUAAUAAGUAUAGAUAAAUGAGUUUAAAAUAAACUAUUGGCAAGUAGGUUUGAACUUUGAAUAAUGAAAGCCAUUUGGUUUUAGGAUCCGAGUUUGUUAGCAUUAGUACUUGUGUCCGGGUUAGCAAAUUAUAUGGGAAAAAAAAAAACUCAUUAGAUUACGUUUUUCAAUCUCUUUUUUUUUUAAAAAAAAAAAAAAAUUCAAUCAUAUUUUCUAUCUCCCAUAUUCAUAAAAAGUGCUUCAAUAUUGAUUUAAUAAACUGAUCUACAUAAUAUUAUAGAAAAUAUCAACUUGCCAGGAAGUUUAACAUAGGAUAAGAUUGUAUACUUCAUAGAAUCUCAAAUGUCAUCUUCAAGAUGACGAUUGCAACGUUCCUUUUUUUUUCGAAAACGACAACUAUUGUAUAACCUAUUAAUCCUAAAUUACAGGAGAGGAGGAGGCUAAAGAGAUUUUGUGUUAAGGAUUGGUAGAUACACAGACCUAGUAAGACGAUUGCAACCUUCCAAGGACCAGAAAAAUAAAAAAUGGGAAACUUUGGUACUUUUAUCAAAGAUGUGGGUGCGACUUGUAAACUAUUGCCCAAAAUAGGAAAGGGCAUGCUAAAAACAGCUAAAGUUGGAAUUUGGGUCUGAUCUUGGCGGGAUUCUAUGUGUAAUUCUUGUGUUGCACUAAGUGGGAGCUUUGCCCUCUGAUCAGGUGGUUGAUUCUGAACUUGGGAUUCAAGCCUGGAACAGUCUAAAGAUGCAGUUUUAUGGAAUACCAGACUGAUAUUAUGGAAGCCAUUGUAGAUGAAGUGAACAACACUUGCAAAUUUGGCAAGAAAAGGCUUUCCUUUUGUCUCAGGUAGCAGAUUCAACUUGGCAUUGCAGCAAGGACUAUCUAUUUCAGUUUGUAUUACCAGCAGAACUCGAUUCAGAUUUUGGACCAGCCAAACGAGCAAAUUCACCUUUGUGGAAGCUGCAUGUUUGCCCCUAAUAAGUCUGCUGUAUCAAUGCAUAUGCUUCCUGCAAUAUUCACAUCCGAGCAUCUUGGAAAAUUCUGGGCUACAAGCCAUAAAGUUCAAUUUAAAACUGACAAUCAAGCUCUAUAAAAAUGGCCGAUACUAUUCGCAUGCAGAGUUUGUUGAGCUACAAUAAAAUGCUUAUGACAGCUUAAGCAGGAGUGAGGGAACUACAACAUUUCCUAUUUAAUUCUUCUACAUCUGGCCGGCCAAACAACGGCCCCCAGCCAUAUUCGUGGAACUACCCCUAUACAGCUCCUCCCACUUAGCCAGAAUAUCUCAAUUGUACAACAGAGAGUGGCCUCUUCCCUUCCUUUUUGCAGUAUAGUUUGCCUAAUAACAACUCAUCGGCCAGAAACAAAUAGUGAAUUAAUUGAUAACUGGUUUCCAUCAGCCUGAGAUUUUCGUAAUUUUGCCUUGUCCAAGCGUGCUCGUCUUACAGCUUCUUGAACUUGGCGAUCAUGAUCUUUCAUCAUCUGGUCCAUUUUGCCUGAUGGUACUAUUAUCGGUCCUGAAUAGUGGAUUUUAUUGCCCUUUGACCCGUACCCAAUCUAAAUAGAGAAAGCAAGUAAGUCUUGAGCACAUGAAUACAUCAACAUCAAGAACUUUAUUUAUGAACAGCGCUAACAAAUUAGAGGUUCCGCAUUUUAUGACGAUAAAGGAUGCGAUAGUGGCAAUUAAAAACUAUCAUGUCAGCAGAGUUCUUACCAGAACGGGAUCGUUAUUGCUGGUUCUUCCAUCCUCAUUUUGAUAAGAUCCUGUGACCACUUGAUUCUUUUGAUCUUGCUUCAUUGAGGAAUUCGAUGUCUCCUUGAAAGAUCCGGGAAAUCUUGCAAUAAGUUUGGGAACUUCCUGCUGAGAAGGACCAGACUUCUCACUGCGUUCCUCAGAGAGCACACUCCUCCUUGCAGCAACUAAACCAGACAUUGCAGACAAGUCAGCUCCAUUUGAAAUCUUUGGAGCAUCUUCCAUAUUCUUUCCAGCUUUUGCCCAGGCAGCCCGGUGUACCAGUGGGCCAGAAUGGGAACCCCUCUUAUGGAGAUUGCCCUGGGGAUCAUUGCUUGCUUCAUCAACAGCCUGGGAUGGUCUAGGUGGGUCAAUUGGAAAACCAGAAGCAACUUCUUCCUGAUGAGAGUUGAACAUCUCACUUCUGCUCUUGGAAUUGGACUGACCUUGUCUUUUCUGGGUUCAGAAAUUCACCACAUAAAUUUUGGGCUUGCCCUUACAGAAAAUGCAGGAGGUCCUCCUUUAAAAACAUUACAACAGUUGUUACCUGCAUUGAAAGGACUAAUUCAGCAUUGGCAUCAGGUGCUGGAACAGCACGAGAUUCUCUUGUCCCUUUCCGUUCUUGAUCAUACCUGUGACCCUUGCUUCCUGCUGCCGCAUGUCUGUAUACAACAUAAAACAAAGUUAGCUACUGAGUCACCACUUUCACCAUUUAGAAAUUUGUUAAAGCAUAAACAAGACAGCAUGGCACUUUGUGCUAAUAAAAACUCAAAAUUCAGCAUUGAUAUUAAUAACAUAAAAAUACAAUAUUAAUUGAUCUUAAUCGUUCAAUUUACCUUCUAGCUUCUUCAUCCCGAACUUUCGCAUCAAACUCUUUACUGGGAGGAUACUUUGGCAAGCUCGAAGGAUCACAAGGAAGUGGUUUUGUUAUGAAGAACUGCAAAACCAAAUUAGACAGGUUAAGCAAAAAUUUCAACAAUUAAAUAUUUGGAAAUUUCUUUGACAAGUCAUUAUAAGCUAAUGAAUUGGUGAUGGAAUUGUUGAUGCAAGUCCAUGAAAUCUAUCAUAACUAUUACUGAUGGAAUGGGUACACAGUAUAAUGAAGUAAUAUCAUGGAUUCCAUUGGACGCAUUCAGUGAAUUACAUAUAAAAAUGCAUAACAUGGUUCAUAACAGUAAGUUAUGAUACUAAAUUUCAUCCAAUUGAUAGGAUUGAGAAACGAGAAAUAGAAUUUAUUGGGAUAGUAGAUAGCCAAGCCUUCAGUGGGCCUUUUUUUUGGAGAAAAUACGUAGAUGUGCUGUUUUUUUUUUAACCAAAACUUGCAAAAACAUGAGCAGAGAUGGAGAUCAUAUGCAAAUAAUCAACACACUUUCAAACUUUAAUAUGCAAAUAACACCAUGUUGCAGGUCUUGCUGUUACUCAAUGGUAUUAUUAUUCUACAUUGAGCGCUGGCGAGGAAUUCUACAAAGCUCCAUAACAUUUACAGUUAAUUCCUAUAAUCUCCUAUUAACCUCCUUUAAGUUGUUAAUUAGAAGUUUCUGGUUUUCCCGAGGUCCUUCAUUGAUCUUCCAUGCUCUCUUCUCUUUCAGUCUUUGCUGGAAAGAGAGGGCAACCUUGCAUCAAUAGUUUGUAAAAAGCUUCAUACCUCACUCUGGAGAGCAGAAGAUGCGGAUCCACGAUCAGCAGGAUCUAUAGAUAGUAGAACCUCCAUUAAAGCUAAUGCUGGUGCAGGAAAGUCUUUAAAUGUAUCUGCAACACAACGUUUAUAAGGUUGCUGGGGCUUAAAAAUAGUUGCAUGAGGUAACUUCGACUUUCUCCAGUACUCCUCAGAGGGUGAACCGCAAAGCUUGAAGAUUUUGUGUAACUGCUCAACCUACAAGGAUUGAAGCAAAUAUCUGCUCAAAUAUGCCCAGGAGGGGCCAAGGCAAAAACCAUAAGAUGAAAACACAAGUUAAAAGGUUAAAAAUACAAAAUUUUAUGACUAACUAUUGUCAAUUUCACUAACAGAUUGGUUCAAGAGAGCAACUUGUCAUUUAGUUUUCUCAUAAAGCUUCUUUUAUAUGAGAAUAUAAACAUUCCACCUUUCUUUUUUUCUUGUUUUGCAGUGAGGGAGAGAGAACCAAUGCUCACAAAAGAGAACUCUAUACCCUAUUUCCAAAGGGGCUUGUUUCAUAUCUGGAUAUUGGUCCUAUAUAUUAGGCAUAAGCAGAAUAACAAAUUAACAUACCUCUGUUCGUCCGGGCAUGAUAGGCUUGCCAGCAUAAAGUUCAGCAAGAAUACAACCAGUACUCCACAAAUCCACAGCAGAGCCAUAAUAAGUAGCCCCAAGUAGAAGUUCAGGUGGCCGGUACCAGAGAGUCACAACACGGCUUGUCAAGGGCUGGCUCUGAUGAGGAUCAAAGAAACUUGCCAGACCAAAGUCAGCUAUUUUCAGUAUGCCAUUAUUGUCAAUUAAAAGAUUGGAACCCUUUAUAUCUCGAUGCAGAACACCAUGCCUGUGACAGUGAUCGAGCCCACGUAGAAGCUGCUGCAUGUAACACUUAACCUAAAAAUAUAUAAACCAGACACUAUAUUAUCCCAAGCAUCCAAGUGGAGCAAACAGAAUAAUGUGCAGUUUUACUUGGGAAUUAUGAUGACCCUUAUGUCAUUCCCUUGUCUAGUGCUCAUAUAGCACAGAUAUGUCUCAUUCAGAUGUAAAAAGAUGCCGUUACUAUAUCGGAAGAUCUGAAUAAGAGUAACAAUUAUUUAUCAAGAUAGGGGAAAAAUAAAAUAGCAAUGCUACAAUAUAAGAGAAGAUUUUGAGUCACAAUUUGAAGCUCAAUGUCAAUACCUGUGGUUCAGUGAAUUUUAGCCCUGGGUGUGAUGCAAGACCCGCUAGGUCAUGCUCCAUGUACUCAAAAACAAGGUACAAGCUGCAAGACAUCCGGGAUGUAACUAGACCUUCCAACUUGAUUAUAUUAGGAUGAUCAAGCCUGCGAAGAAUGUGAAUUUCCCUAGCCAUGAAACGAACACUCUCAGGCUCCAGAUUGUCAAACCUUACCUUCUUCAAAGCCACAAUCUUGCCUUGAUCAAGAUCUCGAGCACGAUAAACAUUGCUAUAAGUUCCCUGGCCAAUCUACAUAAAUAGAAAAACAAUCAAUAUCCAGACUACCAAUUAGUAUCACUGACUAACACAAAAGAAGAGGGAUAGAUCCCAAUUUUUAAGAUAUUCAUUUUAGUAUAUAAAGGGACUGCAGCUUACUCAAUUUAGCAAAAUUCAGUAUCAGUAGAUAUUUUUCCCUCUUCUAUUUCUCUUGUUUCCUUUUGAUGGGAUAAGUGCAGCAACAGUAGAAUCAAUAAAUGCUUGAACUUAAGGUAAAAAUAAAGAGGUAAUAUCAUCUUCACAGUGUAAAGAUUAUGAGAUAAUCUGCAGCUUAUGUCAGCAAGCAUAUACACCUAGCAGAUGGGCCAUUAUUUCACUUGUCUUGUACUAAAAGAUUAACCAAACUUCCAAAACAAAUGUUUCCAAUAAAUUGGCAGUCCUUAAGAUUUGUCAGUUAAAACUGAAGAAAGACAACUUUUUAAUCAAAGGUACAGUCAAAAGGUAAGAAUCUUAAAGCUUGCCAAUGGCAAAUAUAAAAAAGGAAUGAUCUACUACAUUUCAGCCUUCUUUUUUACGUUUAUCUUUCUGUCAUUAGUCAGUCACUUCUUUCCUUCAGAUUCUUAAUUUUCUACAAUGAUCUAAAUCAUUGCCAAAUCUACCAAUUUGUUUUGAUAGAUUAUGCUUAUGCUGCUCUUUAAGUUCUUACAGCAAUUUCACAAAAGACAACUUGAUAGAGCACUAACUAUAAAGUAUGAUUUCCAUGUCUAAAGUCCAGUAACUAUAAAUGCCACACACAAGGACCAGGUGAAGUGUUGGAGACAGAACUAUGCAAAAAGAAGAUAACCUAUUUUAAUAUCGAUUGUUCAUGCACCUAAGAAUGUGUCUUGCCAUGGGACACCAAAAUAAAAUUUAACUCAACAAAAUCACAAUUCCAGAUUCGGUCAAAUAAGAUAUAUUAAUUCCUAGGGUCAAAAUUUGUUAACGAAAAGUAAAAGCUAUGUGGCCUAAACUAGACCACAAAUAUAGUAAAGAACAGAAUAUAAGAAGAAAGUGAAGUACAUAUUUGAACAAUAUCACAUGCUCAUUGAUGCAGAGAAAGCAAUGAAUGAAUGGGGGUCUUAUAGCAAGUAGCCGCCGGAAAAAUUAAAUGAUUCGACGCCAGGGGAGAGCAGAUAAAUUGUCAGGAACAUUAUGCACAUUCAGCCAUUUCAAGAAAAUACAAACUAUUUGGUCAGCAAAAGCAAUUCACAACUGCUAUGAGUAGAAUUAGCACUUUUUUAAAUUGUGAACAUACCAAUUUCUCAUAGCACCCAUCAAAGUCAAAUUUUUUAUUGCCUGGUAAGUACAAACCCUGGUUUAGGCUAAUCACUUCAAAAUUUGGAGAAUUUUUUGCAAGCUACACCUGUCUAGGAAGCAUGAGCAUUUUUAAGAGGGCAACGUAGUAUAGACACACAUCAGACUACUUUGUUCCUUAGUAUAAAGGAACAAGGCAUGGAAAAUGAUAAGCUUGUUACCAAGCAGGUCUAUUACUCUGUUAGGGUUAAAGCUGGAGAUGGGCCAUCUGAUUCUGAAUUUUAAGCGGCUGGAUCAAUAACCAUCUUAUUAUCUGUUCAUAUGACGGUGUAAAUUACUCUGUUAUCAAACUAAUAAGCACUCAAUCUGAUAUAGCCAAAUUGGAUUUUAACUUCUAUCAACACUGACUUAUAGCAAGCGAAAUAACAAAUAAAAGACAUGCAAAGAUUAAAUGCAACUGAUUUACUCAUUUCUCAAACCAUAUUACUGGAUAAUCCCAAAACUUGGUGCAACAAAGAAGCGUACUUUAUCCAACUUCUCAAAAGAAUCAGCACGCCUAGGCACCCAUCCUCUGAUAGCUUCACCAGCCACAGCAGCUAACCAGGGUGGCCAACCAGCAGCAACCUGCUCCCCUUCUGUAGCUCUUGGCAUUCUGCCCACUCCAGGAUGGCCAGAGGCUGUAACAAUAUACUCAGUCUUCUCCCUUUUCCUCUCAAUAUUCUCACCAUGCAACCUGGCUGAACCAUUAAUUUGCUUGUCAAUCAAAACUACCCUCCCUUCAUUAUUCUCCAGCCGAUCUUUCACUCUAUACCCUUCUUCUCUUCUGGAAGAAACUGCCCUCGGGACUCUCAAAUCUGAAGAUGUCUUACUGGAUAGCCUCUCCCUUGGACUCUCCCUACUAUCCUCAAUGGCAGAGGGCUUACAGCAGGCACACCCCAUUUCACUCCCUAAAAAUACACAAACCCACAAAAAGAACCUACCUCCCAAAUCACAUCUUUGCACCAAAUACACCAAUACCCACCCACAUUAACUCCUCUUCUUCCAUUGUCUCCUUCAAAAUCCAGAAUCACCCCAAGAAACCAACUUUAUCGGAAAUUUCAACUCAAACUAAGUCUGUCACACGCAUCACCGAUAUUUCUCAUAAAACCCAAGUCAGAAACUAACCAAAAAACAUGCCAUUCGGCUUAUAUAACAUAACAACCAUAAAAAUCAGUCAAUUUUGCAAGAAAACUGAAAUGGGCUCAGCUCAAAGUACCUUCAAAUUGAUAUCUGGCGAGUGUAGCAGAAAUUAAGUGAAAUUGCAAUACAGAAAAGGAGUAUGGAGAGUUUGGUAAGGGGAAAAGUAAGGGUGGAUCUAGGGCAAUUGUAUUGUGCAGUAGUAACUGGAAUGUACAGAGUGAAGGGGGGAGAGAAAACAGAUUAGUAGAGUAGUACUGUAGUAAUUUGUGAGGGAGUUAAAAAUAUUUGUGGUACAAAUGUGUGUCUGUUACUGUUAUAAUAGUGAGAAUUUAUAUAUUUCUGACGGCCGAGGCAGCUUUUUAUUAAACCUUUCAGGGAAAGGAGAAAGAUGAGAGAGAGAGAGACAGACGGAGAGAGAGCUAGCAGUAGUCGUGAUGGGUUCCAUUGGCGACAUUCUUCUUCCCAGGUCUCACUACAACCACGCGCAGCGUUGUGUGUGAUUGGUUGUGUUUUAUGGCGUGCACUAAUCCAUGAUUGUACCAUAAUGCUGGCAGUUAUGCUGCUCCUUUUACAAUACACUUCCCUUUUUUUUCCCCAAUAAUUUCAUAUGGGAAGGGAAGAAACAUCAAGAAAGUUACGUGAAGGUAAACUGCAAGUAAAGCUGUUGCUUGAAAGCUUGGUUUAGCUCGACUCGACGAGACUCGAGUUUGACUCGUUAAUUGUGGUAAACGAGUCAAGUUCGAACUCGAAAUAUGUUCGUUUAAUUAACAAGUCGAGUAAGUUCGACUCGUCUGUUAUUCGAGUAGCUUGAUUAGACUCGAUAACAAAUGGUAUAUAUGUCAUUUCAUAAUUUAAAAAUAUAAAAAUUGAAAAUUGUAGAUUCAUACAAGCUCGACUCGUUUGUAAUAAACAAGUUGAGUUCGAACUCGAAUUCGAGUCACAUGUCCUAUUUGGCGAGUCGAGUCCAAAUAUUUUUCAAAGCUCGUCCGCCUAAUCAAGCGAGUUCGAGCUUGACUCGAGUUAAACUUGAGUCGAACCAAGCUCGAUAGGUAAAUACUCGAUUCGAUUAACAACACUAAUUGCGAGAAAGUGAUGUAUAGGAAAUGAAAGUUACCUUAAAAAGAAAGUGAUAAUUUAUAUAUUUUUUAAAGCCCUGGCAUCUGUCUCCACAUCUUUUUCACUCGUAAGCACAAAAUUUUAAGAGUUAUUGAAAAUUAGUGAUAAUUAUAUCAAUAGUUAGUAAUGACUAUUUUGAAUGAAAAAUUCUAUAUUAAAAACAAACUAUCCCGUUUGGAUUGUUUUUUUCGUCAUUUUUCAUGGAAAAAUUACUGUAGCGAUUUGAUGUAUGUGAGGGAAAAAGGUAAUAGGGAAAUGUGAUCACGGAAAACGACGUAAUUUUUCGACGAAAAACAGCAAUCCAAACAAGGUCCUUCAUUUUGAAAAAUUUUACAUGUAUAUUUAUCGUUUUAAAAAUGUCUGAUUUAAAAUCAAAGUCGUUCUUUAUGAGUGGAGUCAUUCUGAAUAAUGUGUCAAAAAUAGUUUCUUGCAAAAUCAAAAUCAUGAGGGGCAUUGCAGGACUCGUAUUGGAAAGUGUAGAAAAUGUGAUAAAUUUUUCUAAAUUCCAAAACAUGCAAAAAAGAAAAGUAAGCAGACAUUAGGAAAUCCAGCCAUAGGAAAGACGUCAGAUUUGGUUAACGGAGAUGUCAAAGUGAGAAUCAUCAUCAUCACCACCAGUUGUACUUGUAUCAAAACAGGAAGGAGAAUGGAGAGAUAGCAGGAAGAAAGAUCUCUCAUCGUAUGGUCACUUGUUUAGAAGAGUGCUCGCUGUUUUGUAUACUUAACUGCUGUAAACUCUGUCAGAUAGAGACAUUUGGCAUUUCAUAAACCUAUGAGCAAAUUUGGCGGUUUGAAAGGAGAAUCACCGGCGGAGUUAAUUCUCAUGCAUGUUUUCUCUAUAAUUAUUAAUAUUGAAAAAAGAAAAAAGAACGCAGUGGAAAAUCACUAGUGAGGUGAAUCUCGGGAUAAGUAAUUUCUUCGAGUGAUUUAACUAAAAAUUAAUGGAAUGGAAUGAAGAAGAUUUAUUAUUAAUCGUUUCAACUAAAAAUGCCUCGUCUAUUCCCUGGCCAGGCAUGUGGUUGAACACUGCCGGCAAAAUUCACGUCCCCGGGGCCGGACCACUCCACCGGUCGAAGACCAAUCGAUUGGAAUUGAUUAGCCAAUUUAUUAUUUGUUGGGCUCCACGUUCUGCGCUGCUGCUCCAGAGCUACCCCAGUCUGGUUGACUCGAGCCCUCUCAUCUAGAUUUACGACUCAAAAAAAAAAAUUUUUUUUUUUAACACCAUUUAUGCUGUUUUAUCUUUGUUGCAUCAAAUAAAAUUCUUCACUCUAGUGAUUUUUAGCAGUGACAACCAGUCAAAAGAUAUUCAUUUGGAAAGGGUUAUUAUUUGAAAAUAUAUAUUAUUCACAAAACGCAUUUUUUUCAAUCUUUUUUUCUCAUAUAUAUAUAUAUAUCACAUUAUUAGUGAUUUGAUUUUUUAUGUGAGAGUUUUUUUAAAUUAUGAGAAUUGUUUUACGAAACCGAGAGAGAGAGAGACAGAGAAAAAGAACUACGUACAAGGUAGGCAAAUGCAUGCUGUAGGCGCGUGCAUUGAACAUUAGUUCGGUCACUGUUUCUGCAUGAAGAAGAAAGUAGUGCUACUUUGCUAGUAAUAAUAGCAGAAUAGAAAGGUUGAUGCUGUAUUUUUAUUCUUAGCUUUAUUGAUAUGGACUCGUCCCUAAAUAGGGUUAAUUACAUUUACCUCCCUUGAGAUUUAUCCAAACGACAAAUCAAUCCUUAGAGUUUGAUAAAAUUACAAAACGGUCCACCAAACUCAAUGAUCCAUAACAAGUAGAGCCUUCCGGUUAGUCAAUUAAUGUUCGACCACUCAUCACCAGGCAAGCCAGCAGAAAAAUGCAACUGAAUUCCUAAUUUUGCCCGUCAAUGUUGUAUUGUUCCCCUUUUUCUUCCUCUUUCCAUUUUGUUUUUAUAUUGAAAAUCUAUCAUCACCCCAAAAAGCGUUGGAGACAUUGCAAAUUUACAAUUGCUUCAAACCGAUAUUGAUACCAUUUUUCACAUAUAACUCAAAACUGCCAACAAACACCAUUUUUUCUUUAGUUUUCAAUCAAAUUUGGAACAAGAGCGCCUAAAAGAUACUACAACUUGCAUGGAACAGUUUGUCAUAUCCAUCAAUUUGAAAAUAUAGUGAUUGAACAAUUCCGAUAGAAUAAAGCGAAGGUUCAAGGAAAAAUACAAAAUAAAAAAUAAACAUCAACCACAAACAUGAACAAAAGAAAGUAAACUGUCAAUAGAAAUCUCGAAAAAGUAAAAUUAACCAAAAACAUGUAUAGACCUAUCAAUUUUGACACCCAAGAGUAAAUUGCCAAUAGAGGUUGAUACAUUAAGUCAUGGGAUAUCAAGUUUUGAGCAAAUCCAGUUUGAUGUACUAUUCAUGCAGCUUUAAUUUCAUGUGAAGACAAUAGAGAAAUAGUGAGGAAAGAGGAAGAAAGAGAUGGUGGCUUGCUUGGUUAUGGUGAACUUGGUGAAGUAUAUAAGAAGGAUAGUACUCGUGAAAAAUGAAGAGAUUUAUGAUGGAAUAUCUAUUUUUCUUUUUUUCUUUUUUGAAGAUUUUCCCUAUCAAUUCAAACUAUUAACAAAGAGAUUUUCUUCUUCCUUUCCUUCACUCUCAAAUCUUGAACUGACGCCAAAGGGGAAGCAUCUACAUUUUUCACUUGUUUGGGAUUUCUAAUCCUUGGGGAAAAAAACUUUGUGCAUUUUUUCACUUAUUUGCAAUUGAAAUUGUGUUAUUUGAUUUCCAAACAUUCACGAGAAAGAUUAAUAGUAGUUGACACCUUCAUUAUUUUUUCUUUUGCAUAAACUUUACUGAAUAAUGGAUCUAAGAAUUUUAUUUUUAUUUUUUUUAACCUUCGAUGCAUUUAGAUUAAGGGAAAUAUUGUCAUUUUAUAAUUUCUGUCAAUAGGGUAUUAACGGAGUUAGUGACAAGGGAGGUAGAUGUGAUUUGGUGAAACCUUGAGGAUUGAUUCAUAAUUUGGAUAAACCUUAGGGGAGGUAAAUAUAGUUAGACCCUCAUAAAUAUCGUUCGGUGAACGAAUUAGUAGCCCGGGCAACAAUGGAAUGCUAUUACCUUUUUAAGCGGAGCAGAGCCCUCUCUCUCUCUCUCUCUCUCUCUUCCGUUUUGGAUUUUUUUGUUUGGUGUUUGAUCACAUUUUCUGCAAGAUCAAUCAUAUAGAAAUCGACUAUCUGAUCUGAUGGUAAUUAAUGUCAUAAAACUAAUGAUAUGUGUAUAUAUAUAUACAUACGUUUUUUUGUUUACAUGACUGAUAUUGGAAAGUAAUUUCGAACCUCUUUCUUAUUCUAUAUUUCGCAAAAAGGAACAUACAAAUAAUUUCAUUGAGGACAGAUUAUUCUCCAAAUAAAAGGCGAACAAUUAAUGACCAUGCAAAAUUUUUCCAGAUGAUAAAAUAAUGGAAAACAAAUAGGACCUUCAUCCGCUGUUUGAUGGCGAUCGGACUCGAUAAUCUAGUCAGCCUGCUGUUGUAUCGGAUAAGGAAUUAGAAUUGCGGUUGAGGCCUGGAAAUGCUUUGAUCCCGUGAUAGAAGCAUUAAUUUUUGCCAUUCGUUUAGCUUCAAAUGCAAUGCUGGACUUUUAUUUCUAAUAUUCUUAUGUGAUUUUGAGGUGCCAUGACUCGGAGGGUACCUGUAAAAACACACGUGUAUCCUCGUACAAUAUAAGAAUGAGUUGUGGUUGAAGGGAGAUUUGAAUUUCAACCGCAUGGAUAGGAUUUUUUUUUGGAAAUAUGGAAUAUUUUUUGUUAUUGUUUAAAAACUUUUGGUACAAUUGAGGAUAUCAUAUGUUUAGAUAUAUUUACCAAAAUAUUAUCAUUUUGGUACAUUUAAAGUUUUGAUUUAUGAAGACAUUUGGGUAUUUCUGAAAUAUAUUUAUUUUGUAACUGUUUUUUGCAUCGAGUACAACCUAUAUAAACUUAUGUGUUGGUAUAAUUACUGAAACGGUGUUAUAGACACAUUUAAUUGAAAUGUGUUUUUGUCGUGCAAUUAACACAAAGAAACAUCAACACGUUGCUAUAACUAGCCAUUGAAGGGUAUUCCUUUGUCCGAAACAACUUAUAUAUUUUCUUGAGUGAUUUUCAUUUGACAUCUGUACGCGUCUUUUAGAAAUGAUAAAAUUGUAAAAGCAUUGAUAAAAUAAAGUGGACAAGUGUGUGUUGCGAUUAGAAUGUACUAUUAUUAACAUUUGAUGACUAUUUUUUUUUUCAAAAUAUACUAUUAUUUGUUUAAUAAAAAAUUUUCUUUAAUUACAAGUAUCAAACACCCCUGCGAUGCGCGGGCACUCCCCUCUAGUAUUAUGUUUAGACUCACAACCUGAUUUAUCCCAACGAAAGGACAUUUAUCGAAACUAAAGUCCAAUGCGGGAAAAAAGGUGCAUUGAGCAUUCUCGACGUUGUGUUGGAAAACUAUUGAAUGCUAGUAGUACUGCAAGCACCUGCUUGAACUAUUACUACUGUAUUUAGUCAGUUUACGAGAGCACCAGUACGCUAGUAGUGUUUUUUCUAGUUUUCCAAUUGUGUCGCCGCAGCCAUAUUACAUUCUACUGGAAAAUGUUUGCCAAGAACAAAUAUAUGUAUAUAUAUAUAUAUACAUCAAAGAUAAGAUACACAUUCUACUGGACCAUUUUUGUGUCCUUGACUGACUUUGGGAGGUUACAAUAAAGCUUCGAGAAUAUAACAAGGGUGAAAACAUAGAUUAGACCACGCUUUCUAAAAAUACAGAAGCAGAACAAGGGUAGGGGGAGACGAUGGUGGACAUGGGUGAAAGGACCUUGGAAGAGAGAGUGGAAAAAUCCCAACCAAUUGUGUCCAUAUCCAUUAAAUUAUUUGACAGUUAUCCACAUAAUGAAGCACGCAUGAGAUUUAAAGCCCUGCCCUCGUUUUCGGGGACACUGGAACGAGGGAGCUUCCAGGACCAUCGACUUCCAAUUUAGGAUUUGGUUCUGCCUUUUAUUAGGUUGGCCCUACGCUUGCUUUAUGCAUGCACGUCCCCUCAUCUAUACGACUACGUACGUAUUAGGUGAGCAUCCAACAAUGUGUUUAUACAGUAGUUGUAUGUUCUAAUUGCUUCUCCUUUUUUAUUUUUUGUGGUUCUAACUGCUUUUCGUAUCAUAAUCCAAUCCAAUGGUGUGUGUGAUAUAAUUGAAAUCUAAAUCUAUUAAAUUAUUGAAUUGUUAAGUUCUAAAUCCGAUACAUUUUGAGUGUUUGUUACUUUAAAUGAUAAGUGAAUAAUUUAUUACUUAUUUUUAAGAACAAAUUUUGCCUAAAAAAUUCAGUACUACUCAAUUAAUUCAGACAGUUAAUUUUUUAUUUUCAAACGCAUUUCAAUAUAUUAAGAUCUGAAUCCAUUAAAUUUAAAUAUUGAAUUGAGUUAUUAAAUAAGCCCUAAAUCAUCUUGCUCAAUUACGUGUGACUUAGAAGUUGUACCUUUUUUUUUUUUAGCUCAUUAUGGCAAAAUACUCCACGUGUAAAUUCUUUAGCUAUAUUUUUAUUAGAUGAACAAAAAGAGAAGAGAAAAGGCCCCAAAACUACAAUCUUUGGCAUGCUCCUGGCAAUAAAUUAUAAUAGAUAGUGGGGUUUGGGGGGGGGGGGGGGUUUAAUCUUCAUCCUUUACCCUAAAAGAGUGGGGGCGCGAAAGCAGCUUUGUCAAACUAGUGAAGGGGGAGCGCAAAUAUCAUCAAGUACAUCUCACGGUUCAAAAAUGAAGCCAUAAAGCUCCUUUAUAUACAUGACAAUCCCACUAAUCAAAUAGAGAUUACAUCCUCUAUUUCAUCAUGCAUUAACUCUCUAUCCCACAUUUUGCUUUAUCCUCUAUUUUUGUUGCACCAUAAUUAAGCUAAAACACCCUGUUUUGUUUCAUCAUAUGCCAUGCUUUAUUGUUAGAAGUAGGGAGAAUCAUAUAUAUAUAUAUAUAUAUAUAUAUAUAUAUAUAUAUUCAAAAAAAGGAUCUGGACCCACUUCAGGUCCCAACCCUUAUUUAGAUUGGUGGAUUUUUUCCUAUUUUUGUGACAGUGAUCGAACUCUGGUGGAUGCUCUAACUAGAGGCUACACCACCAGGUCGGUUACCCUGGAGGGUUUAGGGAGAAUCAUAUAUGAGAACAAUAAAAAUUGAUAUUAUCGAAUUAAUAAGACUCGACCUAACCAACAUUUGAUCCAAAAUUGAUAUCAAUCUUUUUUAUUAUCAAAAGUUUUAAUUAAAUGUCCAAACACACACACACAUGUAUAUAUACACAUGUAGGUAAAUGUGUGUUGAUUGAUAUGUACGUAGGAUUAUAAAGGAUUUAUUAAGUUUUUUUUUUUUUUUUGGAACAUCAAUUCUUAAAACCAAAGUUACACACACGCACAAAACGAAAAAGAUUUCCAACGAAGGCAGGGAUGGAAAUUGAACUUGGAAUAGAAUCAAAAAAAGAAAUUGAACUAGCAAUUUUCACCAAGAUGGUAGAUAACUUUUUAGCCACCUAAUUUUGCAGAAAGAAAUAGUAACAAAUACCUUCGGGUUUUAUUGUUUGUAUAAUACGGUAGUGCUUUCAAAAGUGGUGGCAAACGCCCUUGUGUAUUUUAACCUAACAUAAUAAACAGAGUAAUGUUUAAAAAAAAAAAAAUACGCUUUUUGUUUCGUCUACCAGUUCGGUGAAAAUUUUAAAAGAAAACUGUAGCUUUCAGAAACACGGCCAGGAAAAAAAAACACUCUCAAAUUCUCUACUAGUAAGAUAAAAUACUGCAUUUACCGCGAUAGAUAGCUCCAAAUCAGAGCCCUCAAAUUUGUUUUCAGCAAUCCCAGAAUAUAGAAUCUGGUUUUGAAGGCGAGACCGUUGUAACCUUUGUCUUAUCUGAUUCAAAUUAAUUUGGCUUUAUUUAUCUUAUUGAUUUGAUUUAAUCUGAGUUCGUAAUUUUGAAUUGAUCCAUUGGGUUCGAAUUCAAUUUUUUUGGGAACUUUUAUUUAUGUCGUUAGUCCGAACUUUAUGGAGUUUGAUUAGGAAAAACUCAAUUUGCGUUUUUGCUGUCCUAAUUAUAGUGCUGCGUUUUAUGGGUUAUGAAUUUUGGGUUUCUUUGUUUUGUUCAAUGGCAGGAAUUUUAAUCGAAGCAUAGGAAGCAGCAUUUAGCUGUUGUUCAUUCUGCUAGCGGGAUUUUCUUGUUACUGUGUGAUUGUUACGAGUUGGUUGAAAUUUUGGGAUUCUGUGGUGGUCAGUUUGAUACAUUGCUGAUUAAUUAGGAGGUGGUUUGGGUGUUCUUUUGGUCAUAAUUUAAGUGAAUGGGAAUUGCGAGGGAAGAAAGAGAUGAAGGCUAACAUCAAGUGGUCAGAGGUAAAAUGAACGAAGUGUCAUCGGGUCUUCGAAGUUUGAGUUUUGGAUCACUGCAGCUGCAUUCACAGAAUGGUGGGUUGCAGUCUCAGAAUUCAUCUACACUUCGCAAGACUUCAAGGACCUUGUCUGGUUCGAGGGAGAAGGAGAGGUAUCUGCCUUUCAUAUUCAAGUACUUAGGUCGAAGGAAGGUUAUAAUGCUGAUUUUGGUCAUUAUUGCAAUAUUGGCUCUUACCACAGGGUUUCUCACAGCCAGCAAAGGUUUGUUAUGCUUCCACUGCCUUUUCAUGUCAUUGUUUUUCUGUACUGUGGCAUGUAGAUUAUGUGGUAGAUCCUUUGUCAUAAAAGAGUAGUUUUUGAUUGUUCGGAUACAAUUGUGGCUUAAAUAAGUAGUGUCAAAUUAUUGGAAUUUUCAGUAAGCCUGCCUUGUGAGUUUGAAGAUGGCAAAUGAUUACUCACAAGCAUUAGAGAUUCAGUUAGCUGCUUUUAGCGAUAAUUAAAUCACUAGGAUGUCAACUCAUCCUAUUAGUGUUUCUCCUUCCAGAAUAUAUAGAAAUUUUCCAUAUAUCUUCAAGGAUGCCAAGUGAUGAUUGCUGUUUCCUUAAUAGGAACAAUGAAUUUCAAUCUGUGACUAGUAAUAGAUUACCCUUAGAAGAAGAGGUCUGGCACUUUAUUUACAACCUAUGCCUUUUCUGUAUUUUGUCUGUUUUCAUUUGCAUCGAGUGACUUACAAACUAUUUGCAUUUUUCAGAGGCUGCAUCAGAGAGCUCUAUGUUGGGCUUUGAUGGGUGGUUCGAAAACAGGACAUAUCCUGUGUCCAGAGAAGUUGAAGGGACUUCUGAGAAUGGUUCAAAUGUUAACAUCCAUGGUGUGUGCAGUACAAAUAAUGGCUCUUAUCUACCUACGGCUCAUAAUUCUACUGCAACAAUUGCUAUGCCAGCUCCUGUUAUGCUGAGCCAUCCAUGUAAAACUUUUGCAUUUCCGCCUCCCCCUCCUGGUGAUGCUAGACGGAUUGGACCACGCCGUAAGUUUGACAUGUUUUGGAUGCGUCUUUAUGCAUUAGUUGUUUCUCUACAUGGAUGAACUACCGGUGUAGUUAAAAUCUUCAUGGACAAGGCAUCUUGUAACUUCAACUUUUUUGCCAUAUUUUGUCUGGACAAUGACAAUUAAAUGCUUAUUGAGAACUUAUUGUAGUGUUUUCCUGCCUUUUUUUUACCAGCUUGUCCAGUAUGUUAUAUUCCUGUGGAGCAGGCUAUAGCUGCUUUGCCUAGAUCUGCAUCAGCAUCUCCUGUCCUUCAUCAUUUAACUUAUUUUUAUGAGGAAAACCCAAUGAAAACCGAACCUCAUGGAGGCUCUGACUUUGGUGGAUAUCCUUCUCUGAAGCAAAGAAACGACUAUUUUAAUGUAAACAAGUCAAUGACAGUGCAUUGUGGGUAAGUUUUACUCCUACACGUUAUGUUUCUCUGCGGUAAGUCAUUUUCCAGACGUAACAUAAUUAUCAUAUGGUUUCUAGCUACUAUUUUAGUCUUAUGUUUGUUUUAAUUACUCUUUUUAUGUUCAUCUUUAUCAGAUUUAUCAAAGGAUGUAGAGCUGGUGACAACACUGGAUUUGAUAUUGAUCUGGAUGAUCUUAAGGAGAUGGAUGAGUUCCAUGAAAUUAUUGUUGCAUCAGCUAUAUUUGGUACUGCAGAGCAUGAACUAAAUUUAUGGUUUUGGCCUUGUUUUGUUUAUACGUUUGCAUACUUUGAACCUUAAGGGUUGCUACCCUCCCUAAAUAUUUUCUCAGCUCUCUAUGUUUGUCUUCUCCAAGCUGCUAUUGAUUUUAGAAGCAUUUUUCUUUUCCCUUAAGCUAUUGAUGUUUACAGGAAAUUAUGAUAUCAUUCAACAGCCAACGGACAUCAGUGAAAUUGCAAAGAAAAAUAUACCCUUCUAUAUGUUUGUUGAUGAAGAAACAGAGGCAUACAUGAAGAAUUCUAGCCUCCUGGACAACAGCAAGAGGGUUGGCCUAUGGAGAAUUAUCGUUGUCCACAAUGUGCCUUAUACUGACCCCAGGCGUAAUGGCAAGGUUAGGAAAUACUGAUUGGUCCUUUUGCUUACAACUGUUUCCGUUUCUGUGGAAUAGAAAUGUUCUAUCACAUUGUGGAUUCACACAUUGUUUGAGUACAUGGUCAAAUUCUUCUUAAAACGCCAUCUGCAGGGCUGAACAUUCUUUCUCCUGUUUCCACUUCCAGAGAGCUUAAUUCACCAGGUUAUUAAGUGCCAGUGAAUCAUUUAAGAGAAGUGCAUACUAGGAAUAGAAAAUAGAACAGAGAAUUCAUGGAGUCUAAGACUCGUUGAGGAAGCCCGUCCUAUUUGUUGCAUCAGCUUCACUGGGGAGUUUGAAAGUAGUCAAUCUUGCUUUGAACAAAUAGAACAACAUGUGAAGAAAGAAGCAGUUAGAUAUAGUUUCUAAUUCUUUAGGCAUUUGUUAAUAUUUUUCACAUGCAACUGUCUAGAGAGAUGCUUGUCUUAGUAAAGCACUAAGCACAUCAUUUAAAAUCCUGAGGUCUUCGUUAUGGAGAUUUGUUACAUUGUGUUUCCAUUUUCUCUAGCUUCUGUGGAAAGCCACUACGUCGUAUAUGCUUUCUCUGAUGAGAAAAUAAUAGUUUAUGAAACUUGGAAGGGUAAAAUAUGAUAGGGGUACGUGCUUUUGACAGGUGCCAAAGCUUUUGUUGCAUAGGCUCUUUCCCAACGUCCGCUAUUCUAUUUGGAUUGAUGGAAAACUUCAGCUUGUUGUGGAUCCAUAUCAAAUUCUUGAAAGGUAUUCUGGAUCUUUCUGUCAUCUGCCUAUUUAGGCUCUAGUUGAUGGAGAAUCAUGUUUUAUGCUCAUAGGGGAGAGAUUAAAAAUUUUAUAUGUUCAACAUAUCUUAACUCACUGUAAGCAUUUGUCAUGUGGUAUAUGGGCAGUUACAACUUUUUGUAUGGUUAUAUUGUCCAAUUGGGAUUUUACCUUGUGAUCUUUCAGUCUUCUACUAGCCAUUCAUAACUGUUAAGAUAUCUAUGGUGAUAGUUGUCUGAAAGGUUUUUUUUGGUAAGGUUUAGUUUUGUUAGCCCUUCCAUUAAGCCUGGAUUUUAUUUUGCACGCUUUUUUGUCAUCUUACGCUAUAAGCUUCUCAUGGAAUUGGGCAUGUUCAAUGAAAAAUAAAAUGUUUUUCCAACAUUUAAUCAAGGAGAUAAAAAUCAACAUCAGCUAUUGUAUAUAUACCUAGCAGUUGUGCUAACUUCACAUUUCUAGGCUUUAAAGAUGCCAUGCAUAUGAAAAUUAAGCAAAAGAAAUGUACCAUCUUCGGUUUGGGGGAUAGAAAAGUCACAGGCUAGUUCUCCGUUAAGUGACAUAUGUGCUUUUGGGAGCCUUACAUAUUUAGAAGCUGCGCUUUUGUAGACAUUUGCAAAAGGGUGGAUUUAGAUAAAUAAAACAUGGAACAUCUUUUUGCUUAUGUGUGGUGCUUGAGUAAAAUUGGAUAUCUGAGCUUUUGCCAGUGUAUAUGCUUCAAACAAAAUUUCAAGUGCAACCUCAGGCUUGCUUUACUAAAGUACUUGAAAUCAUCUACAUAUUUCAAGUAAUUAAUCAGGGAACUUCUCAUUUUCCUUGGGUUGACGAAUUUGUGAAAAUGAGAUUUUCCAAGUUGUGUUCAAUUAUUUGGAUCAAGCUGAUAAACUGGCACUUCCUUUUCCUUGCCUCUGGAAUUGAUUUUUUUUCCCUGGUAUUAUUUUGUGGAAUAGGACGGAAAAGAAAAUGAAAAUUCGAUUACUUAGAUUGUGCUUUUUACAUGUAUAUGAGAUCAUUUUCAUCUGUUAUAUGUAAAGUAUCUCUUUUCCCCCUCCCUCUCCUGAAUGGCUGGUAAGAGAACAAUUCAUCAUGGCAAAGAAAACUAGCUUUGGUAGCAGUAGAUAAUAGAUGAUAACCACUUAAUUCCUCAGGUUUUUGUGGCGCCAAAAUGCCACUUUUGCAAUCUCAAGACAUUACGCACGAUUUGAUGUCAUCGUAGAAGCUGAGGCCAAUAAAGCUGCAGGGAAGUAUGACAAUGUCUCUAUUGACAACCAGAUUGACUUUUAUAGAAAGGAGGGUUUAACACCAUACUCGAAGGCUAAGCUUCCAAUAACUAGUGGUAAGCCCCUGUAACAUCUGUUUGCUUGCUUUUGAUCUCCUUUUCCAAAUAAAGUUUUAGUUUUGUGUUGCUCAUUGCGUAUCUGCAGAUGUUCCUGAAGGAUGCGUAAUUAUACGGGAACACAUUCCUAUUACCAAUCUCUUCACCUGUCUGUGGUUCAAUGAAGUUGAUCGUUUUACUUCCAGGGAUCAGUUGAGCUUUUCAACUGUGAGGGACAAAAUAAUGGCUAAAGCUAAUUGGACCAUCAACAUGUUUUUGGAUUGUGAGCGCAGAAAUUUUGUGAUACAGGUAUUCUUUCUCCUUCCUUUUCUUAUCAUUUUAGUUUCUGCAAGGAAUUUGCACCUCUGUUGUCUUCCAAGAAAAGUAUUGCAUUUCUUUUCUUCUUAUUUUGUCCAGGGAUCCCACUUCCAUCUUUAUGAAAGAAGUUGAUAAUUGUUCUAUCAGUAUUUUGAAGACAUUAAAAAUGAUGCUUUCUGCACUUUUGUUUUAAAAUCUUUUUACUGGAAUAGUAGUUUGAGAAUCCAAAGUUUUAUAGGCAUAUCACAGAGAUUUAUUGGAGAGAAGGCCACCACCUUUGCCACGAGCUAGAGUUUAUUCUCCCCCAAGUUCUGUUCGUUAUAACACACCUACUGAAACAGCAAGGAAGAAAAGCCCCGUUAAACGGGUAAGAGGAGGUAAGAAGCCGGGAUCUAGACGGCAUCGGAAAGUUGUUGCUGGAAAUAGGGAUAAUCCUUUACUUCGAUUACUUUCUCCGUAGGUUUUUAUGCAAAGAAAAGAUACUUCUAUUCUUUGUCUCAAUUCUUUGAAAGGGAUAGGAUGAUUUUGGUAGAUAUUGGUAGCAUAUUCAACAAAGAUGAGUUUUUUUUGAAAGUGUCAGAUAUUCGAUCACUUUCAAUGUAUAUUUCUUCACACGAACUCUAGGGUCAGUCGUUUUUCUCUUGAUCGUCGAGCUCUCCUGUAAUUAUCUGCUUCACGCAGUCUGAGGAAAUGCCUAAUUCGAGGAUAAACUACUUUUAUUCGUUUAUGAUCAGCAUUGAUGAAUUCUUUUACCCAUCUGGAUGGUUGUCUUCUAGCAGGUGAUGACAGAAUUUUCAUACCACCAAACCCAGUGAAACAGAAAAUGCACGUCCAUAUUUGAUUUCGUUUGAGUACCCGCCUAUUUUGGUCGUUACUUGCGAGCUUGAGCUUUUAUUUGGUUAGACUGAGAACAGGGUAGUUUUAAAUUUGGACACGGCUUGAAUAUAAAGUGGAGGAGUUUUUGUAUGAUAAACAAUGCUAAGGUGAUCUCUAAGGAACUGGUCUUGCAAGCACUGCAGCUGCAGACCUGUAUUUUACAUCUAAUUCAAGAGUCAUCCAAAAUGAGCUGGUUCUGAGUUUCUGAUUCGAAAGCGUGAUUCUUAUUUUCAGUACUGCUACUUGAUCCACGCUUCUAGAGAGCCUGCCGAAGCAUGCAGGUUUAUGAAAAGAUAAACCAAAUAAUGCAAAUGAAAACUCAUGUAUACGGACAAAACCUCAGCACUUCGUACCUGUCCUGAAAUUAUUUGAUUUUAUCUUUGUGUAAGCAACUAGCCGGCAGCCAUAUUUAAAGCUGUGGGAGUGCAUUAUUGAACAGCUAACGCAAAGCCGUGACCUCAUGUUGAUGGCCCUCACCAAUCAUUCAAUAUGGGCACGUAUUAUAACGCAAAGUCGCAGACAUAAUUUUUCCUUUUUUUUUCGGAGACGACAGAUGUAUAAUUUAAUUUAUUCUACAUUAAGGGAGAGAGGGCGGACCUAAGGAAGAUCAGGAAUAAUCCGGAGGGAAAUGAACUAUUACCGAAUCAAACGAGUACACAACACAGUUACCUAAAUUUUUUAGAAACAAACCACAUAAAUGUGACAUUUUUGGUGAGCGAUAAGUUUUGAACCUUUACCUUCCACCCCAUCAAGCUAGGUGGUGGUCACUGGCCUUUGGGCUGGUUACAUAAAUUUUCGUUUGCCUCAGUCAAAUUUACGUACGCAACUAAAAGGUUUACGACUGAAUUGUUUUUUAUUCAUUCAGAGUUUGACGAGACUGUUGCAAUUUUGGUAAUGAAAACAAGAAACUAGAGAUAAAUAGAAAGAUCGGACGGGGAGGCUCUUACAUAUGCAUACGUUUGCUUGAUGCAUAAAGGGAUUUCCGAGACGGUAUGAAGAGCGGGUUCACAUUUGCCACAAACACUUUCUGCUGUACUUACAGUCUCGUCAGCUAACAUCAAGUGUAGAAAUGAAUAUCCUGCUAAUUAUUGCAAUAUCAACACAUCAUCAUUAUGCAAAUCAUCUUUCCGAUCCACAAAUCUCCACUUGGACGCGAGCCAAUUAACAACCCACGUAUGAGCCUCUUUAAACUCUCUCUUUUCCUGGAAGAUAAGUAGGUUAGAUAAUUGCCGUUACAGAUAAAAAAAAAAUUGGAUACUUGCAUUUAAUUUUGAUGCGUGACCAUCUCAUUAAAGAUAAAAAGCAGAAGUCCAUUAACUUGCUUAAUUUCACUUCACCCUCUAAAUUCAUAACGUCAAUUGAUUUAUUGUGGAAAAUGAAUAAACGACACGAUAGGUAAAAAUAUGAUUAGAAAAUGUGUUCACGAAAAAUGUAAAGAUUUAUUGGUGAAAAAUCCCUUUCCAAACGGGCAAAAAUGCAGGGAUUCUUGAUAUUUUCCAUAGAAUACUGACAAACAAAAAAUGUCAAUCUCAAAAGGAUUUGUCACACAUAUGGUACCUAAAACUAUUUACCAACUAACAUGCUCAAGUAUUAUAUUUUGCUGAGUUGUUGAAGAAAUCUUCUAGGGGUAUCUUGUCAUUUUGAGAACUAAGUUAAAAGUGAUUAGAAAGUGAUAAUGACGGAUUCUGAAUAUUUUAUUAUUCAACAAGAAGAAAGGAUUUCCUUGAGUUGAGCGGAUGACGACUGAUCAGCAACCAGCUGCAUGUUUUUAUCCUUUUCUUGCCCUUGAUCUUUAUCUUUAUUUCACCCUUUUUGUCACUUUUUAUUUAUUUAUUUAUUUUUAAGAUCUACCUGAAAAUUUAGCUGUAACAACCAGACACCUAAAAUAAAAGACAUCCACACUUUUUUUGUUCCUUAAAAAUGCUCUGCUGUUAACCCUUCUAUAAACCCUUUUCCCAACGUUCCCUCGAUUCCACUCCUCUUCUAGAUGUCAUUCCGUCUGGGUUUUGGAUCCAACGCUUUUCUUGGAUCUUUCUCCAUCCAGUCCCUAUUCACUGAUCUCGAUUUCCCAUGAUAACCAGCCCAGAUAGUCACCUGUUUGUUGCUGUGAGAAGGGGACGAAAACCCACCUAUGGUCCAAAACUCUAAAUCUGAAGGAUUGCUUUCGGGUACUUUAUUGCUUAUUUGCAUCCAAAGUCUUGAACUUUAGGUGAAAAAUCUUUCUGGGUUUUGAUCAGUUGAGAAUUGUACCAUGCCAUCUAGAUUCCUGGGCUUCUGUUACAUGUGCUUUAAAAGUUAAAAUCCGCAGUGAAUUCAGUUUUUAGUAUUACAUUUAAGGCUAAAAAUAUAAGUUUUGGUUAUGUUUGAUUGAAGGAAGUCUGUUCUUUUUUGUGAAUUAAUUUGAAAAGGGCUGUUCUUGCCUUCUGGGAAUUGGAGGUUUCUGGAAAGGGGAAAAGGGGAAAUAGAUUAUCUUUGUUGUUUGGGAAUGAUUGAUGGGUUCGGGUGGGUUCUUCAUGAUAUGUAUUCUGCAUUCUUUGGUGGCCUUGAGCUGUGGAGGCGUGAUGAUGUUCCAUAGUUACGAGUUCCUUGAAUUCAGCCAUGGGAGAGACCGUGCCAGUAAGCUCGCAGGAUCAACCCCUCAUGAUCAGCUGUUAAUCCGAACUUCGGAUUCAUUUUCAGGGUUGUUACUGUUUGCAAUUGGUUUUCUCUUGCUCAUGGUAGCUUUUGUAAAGGACAGGGACUUUCAGAGCUUUUUUGCUAGGGGGUGUGUGCUUCUCCAUGUUGCAAUGGCAAUUUGGAGAAUAUACUUCGAGAGGAAGCUUGAAGUCCUUGGCCGCGAUUGGCUUCGCCUGGUUGUUGGUGAUAUAGUAUUGGGGCUUUCUUGGGUUUUUUUCCUUGUAUAUUCGUGGAGGGAGAAGUAUGAUUGAUUUGAGUGGGAAGCUUACUUUGCCUGAUCAGACACUGAAGAUCAUCAUCAGAGAGGCGAGGCUGAAUGGAAUUUGCUUCCCAGCAGUGCAAUCUUCUUGUUUCUGUCUCCUGUCUAGUGGAUCUCGUGGAUUUCUUUCACUAUGUCUAGUCUAGUGCAUCAGCACAAAUUUGUCGAUUUUGCUUUGUUUGUUGGUACAGUUUUCUUUUUUCCGAUAAGAAAUGGUAAAUGUAAUUUCCUUCUCUGAGAUUGAGAUUGUAAUCUGUGUCUUUCCAGAACUCUGUUUGGUUUGCAAUUCGCACUAGUCUCUUAUUAUGGUGUAUAUAUGAUGAUAUGAGUGCUUGGUUUGUGAGUUAGGACUCUCCCUUUGAUUACUUUUCUUCAGUCCCCCAUUCAGUUUCUGAAUCAGUAAUCAAAGUACAGCAGCUGCUCACUGGCAAUUUUCAAUGGCACGGCUACUGUAAACGAUGAAUUUUGCAAGUUGCUUUAUUAUAGCGGACUAAUUGAUCUGCUAGCAAUCCUAUGCUUACCGAUCCCCGCAAAAACGGCUCAAGGUUGAUUAGCUAAUCGCUGAUAGUGAUAAGGCUGGCUGCCGCCUGGCAAUAUCAUUAAGAACAUAUACGCGCACCUCUGACCUUUAGUUGAGUGUAUGUUAAACGCAUUUUUAAUGAAGUGUGUGUUUGUAUAGUGGUUUAUUUGUCAAAUUUAAUUUGAUUAUAUUAUAUUACAAACAAGUUUUUCAAUAACUUUUGUUAUCAUCUUAAUCAUUUUCUUAUUUCACGUGCGUUAUAUUUAUCACAUAAAAAAAAAUCUCACAUCCCUUGUAUCCAUCAUAUUAAAAAAAAAAGUGCUACGGUAAUUUAAAAACGUUCUUGGUAACGAAGUUCUAGAGUGUUAUUGGGAGAUACCCAAUAAAAUAAAAAAUUGUGAACUUUGUUUCUUUUUACCAUCUCGAUCUUUCAUGAAGAGAAGGCACAUUUUUCAGAAGUUAGAGUGCCAAAUUAAACUAAAAUAGUACUAGUACUUAAUACUUUUGCAAGGACUUAAUUGAGAUAUUCUAAACUUUUGGAGGGCUAGAUUAAUAUUAGCCACGAGAUUAAUAUUCUAAACUUGACUGCAAAGGCGAGCAGUCCUCUCCUUCCAGUAUCAGAGCCCUCUUUUCAACACUUAAACAGAAGUCUUGUAGCCUUUACGCUCUUUCAACGCUAAAACAGAAGGAGAGGGAAUCAAAAAAUUGGAAGCAAGACCAGAGGUAUGUCCUUUUAGUUACUUACUUACUUUUGGUCUAUUUCACGUAUUUGAUGAUAGAUCAAGAUUGCUUCUUUUUUGUAUGCAAAGGUAAAUCUUAAUAGCGUAAUAACUUUCGUGCACAUGCUUUUGUGGGGUUUUUCCGUUCCUCAUAAUCGACUGAGUAAAUUGCAGAGACGGGAUAUUUGCCUUACUUGUGUAGGAUUAACACAAUUAUUCACGAAAAGGCGAAAACUUGAUUGUAUUUAAUAAAAAAUUGUCCUUUUUUUGUGCCCCUUUUGGCGGUGGGGAGGCGGGGGAGGAACUCUGUAGAUUUCGCAUCUUCUUUUCUGUCCAUUAAUCAAUUAUGAUGUAUGUGUACGUCUCUUUCAUACUGAUUUUGGCGGAUAUAGAACUCUGGUAAUCAUAGGAAAUGCAAAAAUGCUUGCUUUGCAUUUUAAAUUGUUUUGCGUUUUGGAUUGUGGGAGUUAAUUGUGUUAAGGAUUGGUGUAUGCUAAAUUUGUAGAGAAACCUGACAACUCGAAAAUUGGUAUGGUGAGCUGACUCUUUUUUUUUUUUUGCGUAUCCUUAUCUGCCAAAAUGGUUUGAUGCUUUUAUCUCCCCCACUCUCCUCUCAAUACCUAAUUGCUGACUUAGCAUUGAAUCCAAGAGGAGUGAGGACCAAUAGCGUGCUAGAGUCCUUUGAUUCUUUAGCUGUUUUGUGUUUCAUCAAGGAGAAACUAAAUAAGUAAUCUUUCUGCUAGCGUGAUCUUAUGCAAUUGUGUAAGUGAGAAUCUCAUGUCUAAAGUGACUUAUAACUAUUUAUAUCAUUGCUGUGCAGCGAUACUAUAAUUUGGAUGGGUUCUUGUUGGAGCUCGUUCACAUGAAUGUGUCAAAUCCUUUCAACUCAUUCACUUGACCUGAAAGUUCUCCUCUGACAGUUUUGUUGAUAAUUGACUUGCAUAGCAACCUUUUGUUUGAAGAUCCCUUAUUGUUUUGAAAACAAUUAAUUUCAAAUUAGAAUAGAAGAAAGUUGGCAUUGGCAGUAGAAUAAAAUUUCCUUAUAAGGUAUCUCUUUUUAUAAAACUGAACGAGAAUCGUGAUGAUUCAAGUUGCUUAAGGUUUCAAGAAAUGUUCAUAUGUUUAGGCUUCCUUUUCAAGUUGCCAACUUUUGCUUUUAUUGAUUUCUUUUUUCUUAUCUCUGAUAUGUAUUUCAUUCUAGUUGUGCUUCUUGUGCAUAUUGUUGUUCUCAAAUAUUAUUGAAGAGGGUAACUAUUAUAAAUACUAAUUUGCAUUCAGUGUAGAGUUGAUUUGUAAUGGUUCAAACUGAGAUGACCUUGGUUUUGCUGUUCUAGAAGAGAGUUUUAAGUUCAAUUCAUGGAAGACUUGAUACUCAUGUUCUUUUGGAGAAGGAAUUAAGGUGAAUCUGGAUUCUAUAUCUUUUGGGUUGCCGAACAUGGAAAAUUGCAAAAUCUAAGGAUUGACUAGAAUUGUCCUUUUGAUUUUUGGGAGGUUGACUGGCUCCCCCAGCUCACUCGUGAACUUGUGAGUUGUGACGUUAUAUAUCAAAUUUAGGGAACAUUAACGAUAUGGUGUAAGCUAAAUCCCGUCACUUUACUCCCAUAAUUUAGGUAUUUAAGUGACAAAAAAAUCUACGAGGUUGUAAAACAAAUCCACCAAAUGAUAGGUAAAAUGAAACUAGGACCUAGAGAUGUUUGCAAUAUGAUCAAUUGAGCAUAAAGCUUCAGUUGAUAAAGAAACUACAACAGAUUUGCUUUAGAUUUAAAUUCUAGGUGGCAAAGAGUCAAAGACAUUCACAUCUAGAGUACAAAUUAAAAUUGAAGAAUAUAGUUCGGUGCCAGACAUUCGCGGGCUGAGCUACUCUUUUCUUGGGCCAACCUAAAAGUAUAUACUACUCAUAUACCUGGCAAAGCUAACAAUAGGGAUUCUUUCAAGAAAAUAUGAAAACAUAACUUUGAAGGACACUUGUAGUACAUAGGUAAAUUCAAUUUUUUCGCUUGAAAUCUUUGAUUAUCUCCAGUCAUAUAUGCGUUGUUUUCUUUUUUAUUCUUCAAUUUUGAUGAAGAUUCUUUUACCAGGAAUAUACUGCCUGCCAGAAUAGUGUAUUAAACUGUAUGUUGAUUUUGUGCAGUUAUAUGGAUGCAUUUAGCUUUCUGUUUGUAAUUAGACUGUACAUUGAGUCUGCAUCAUAGCAUGUUUCUCUGAUAGCUGAGCAUAUGAUUGUCGUCAUUGCAUGUUUAUUCUUUGUGUAUUCCAACUUGGAGCUUUGAAUCUUAUAGUUUUGAACCCUCUUUUUUUUUUUUUUACCAGGGAGUUCAUAUAAUGGGUGGAUUGCCUGCACAGAACUCUUCAUCUGUUAUCUCCUUGAAUGUACACAAAGAUCAAAGUCCAGGUUCUGUAGGACCAGGGCCGGAUUCAAAGCCGCGGAAGAAGAUAUGCUGUGCUUGCCCCGAGACAAAGAAACUAAGAGAUGAAUGUGUUGUGGAGCAUGGCGAAGCUGCUUGUGGAAAAUGGAUCGAGGCUCAUCGUAAAUGCCUCCGUGCGGAAGGCUUCAAUGUUUAAAAAGUAUUACCGUGGUCGAUUGGAUACACGAAUUGCAUUAUGCUGUGGAAAUUGAUAGAAUUUUUGUUUCUAUUGUUUUGGGCUGCACCAUACACUGGAUUUUUGUCUGGUAUAGUAAUGUUACAGAUUAACCGAGAGAUAACUGAAAUGCAGCAUUUGCUCAUUCCCACAUAAAGGGUUCCUGAUGAAAGACAGGGUACAUACUUGGUGCUGGUAGAAAGUGUACGGGAGGAAUGCUAAAGCAUAUCUAUCAGGGAAUAAAAGUUUCAGAAUUCUAAUUGUGCCCCCUUUUUUUUUGUGGUUAUCCUCCUGCAAGUGCAUUUGUUAUUGUUUUGUACAGGUUGUGCAUUUACUGAUGCUAGUCCUGGCCUCUGAUUUUUUUGAAGGGUUACUCGUCCUCAUGUUGUUGUUGUGAUUGCCUCUCUUGUGAAUGCAAAGUAGCCUCCAAGUUGAAGCUUUCUGAAAUUAGAUGCUACUAGAUUAGCUUUACUAGUUGUUGUCUUAUAAUAGACAAAAUUUUUAUAAAAAAAAAAAAAAAUAAAUUAAAUUGGUGACUGUACUGGCUUUAAAGUGUGAAGAUCCGCCAUUUUAUUUUUAUUUCUUGCCCUGGGAGUAAGAGGGAUUCUGGUCUGGACGGUUGUUUGGGCCCAACUUAUGAGAAUGUCUCAGGCAACGGAUCCCAAAACAAAAUGCGGAGAGGUUUAUACAAGAGAGUGGGGGGGAGGGUCUACUCGACAUUGCAGUGGGCUACUCAUAGUUUGUGGAUGGGCUGCGGGGCCUGGCUUUAGAAAGUUGCAAUAAAUACUCCUAUUUGUUUCAAAAUAAGGAAAUUAAAAAAAUUGAGUCCUAAAUAAAGUUGAAAACCUGAAAUGGAUGGUAGCUGAUGAAUGUACUCUAAUUCACAGAUUUAACCUCCAAUUUUUCUUUUGGACGUUUAAUUAAUUAAUUUUUUUGGUUUGGAAGAAUAUGGUGGAAGGUCUAGGCAUUAUUAGUAAAGUUGCAAGCCCUAUUAAUUGGGUUAAGUGGCAAUUUGCGUGACUUAUACUUGUUUUUGCUUCAAUUUGCGAAUGUCCUCCUUGACAUGAUACAUACAUAUAUAUAUAUAUAUAUAUAUAUAUAUAUGCAUUCCAGAAAGUGAUUUAGCUGAACGAACUUUGCAGACCAUAUAAUAGGAUGAAUGUGAUUUUGUUGUAUCGAUGAUGUAUUCCUUAGGAGUGGGCGCGAAACUUAUUGCUGCCAUUCGUCACGUCUUUGCGUGGCAAAAGAUAAAGGCGUGGACGCAAAGGGCUUCUCAUCUCAUCUCGAUCCGCGGUUGAUGCCCAGUACAGAAGAAGAUUCAACACUAGUCCUAUAUUAUUAUCAUUCAUCAUGAUGGAGUGACAAAUUCUUUUGUAUCUUUUUGAAUGGAAGUGAGAAAUUCAAGAGUACUAAAACAUUAUUGUUAUUAUAAUCACCUCGUUACAGGAUGAGGAAGGAAACACACAACAUAAACAGUGAUUUGUCAAAUCACUGGACCAUCAAAACAAAAGACAGACCCCACAACACAACACAAAUUAUUGACCAUCAUCACAUACUAAUUUAGAGAACCUCACUACAUAGUUUUGUAUGAAUCAGGAGGCACUCAUAUCAUAUGUAUAUGUGAGAGCCGUGUCAAUUGUCACAGGUGCAGUUGACACAGGCGCAGCUCGGACCGCACUUGCACUUGCCAUUUUGCGCACCUCCUUCCAUCAUCACGAAGGUCUCCACAAAGCUGCAAAAGUAAACAUGGAAACAUGAAAUUAAAAAACAAAAAAAAAAAAUGGUCCGGCCAUG
rnacentral:lncRNA from 1 species